CUUGUGGGCCAAGGUCGCCUCUCUAUUAUAGAAAUAAUUAUUCUUACAUGAUGAAACAUGGAUUUCCAAAAUACCACUCUUCCAUUAUGGAAAGAAACCUGUUGGGGCCUUCAAGAAUCAUGAACCCGCAUGCACCCGAGUUUGUGCCAAUGAGAGGUUGGCAAAUAAAUCCUGGAUAUGCAGAUUCAAAUGUUUCAAAUGAGUCGAACUCUUCAAACGACACAAGUGAGGCAGACGAUGAGAAACUUGACAAAAUGUCCAGUAUUCAAGGCGAGGAUAAUACCUCAAGAAAGAGCAGUACAGAGGCGGAGAAUUCAGAGCUGGCAAGACAGAUACUACUUAGCUUCAUUGUAAAGUCAGUCCAGCAUAAUAUGGAUGCUCCAAGUCAUUCUUCAGGCUACGAAAAGAAGAUUGGGUAUUCAGAAAAUUCUUCAGAUGCAAUUGCAAAUGAUAGUGCUAUCAUAAAGAUCCUUUAUGGAAAUGAAAAGGGCAAAACAAACUUGGCAUCUCAGUCCAAUGAUCAAGAACAGCAAAAACCCAAAGAUGAAAACCAAAAAAGUGGGGAUGGUGAAGGAUUUAUAGUUGUCAGAAAACGGAGAAGAAACCGACAGCAGAUCACAAAUGGGGUCACUGAGAUGUACAAUCAUCAAUCCAUCUGUGCUUCUGUUCGUUAAAAGAGAGCAAAGCAAUAAAAUGCAAAGGUGCCGUCCUGUUUCUCCCAAUUUUAUUCGAAAAAUUUGUUAGUGAAUGUUGCUGUUGUAGAGAUGGUUAAAGUUUGGAGCAAGUUUUAAUCAAUACUUGAUUGUAUCAUUUUAGAUAUCCUCUCUGGAUGUUCUAAUAAAAUAUUUGUACAAAUCGGUUUCUUGUUUUGUUAAGAGAUUUUGUUUUGAUCAAUAAAUGAUGAUAAAUUAAUUGGGCGAUUUUCCUCAUCAAGAGAUCUGUGAUGUUGUUCUAUAAUGGAUUUUAAUGUUUUAGACUGAGAUUUGUAGUUAUGCCUCAAAUUAUUUGGUAUUUGGUUGGUGCGUGUGAACAAUACGUUCGGAAUGGAGUUGAAUUGACCCACUGAUAGAUAGCUUACAUUUGCAGCUGAAGUUGCUGCAUUGAUGAUAUUACAACUAACAUAGUAGUUGGCAAAAUUCCUUAUUCAAUUUAAAUUUGCAAUCAACAGAAACUGAAGAAGAAGCCGUAAGUUUAAUCCUAAUGGAUGCAUAGCUGUUUGGAGAAAAGCCAACGGAGACAUAACACAGCACGAUAAGUUAUACACGGCAGAACCGUAUGUGCUAGUAAGCACAGUCACCGAUGGAAAACAUAUUUGAAAAGCCAAUAGUAGCAUGUGUCAAUACAUCUAUCAAUGAAAUAGAACCACAGUCUGCGCCAGUACGAGUUUAUCCAAAGUGCUGCAAAUAAACCCAAAAUUACUGACACAUAGGAUGCUCCAAAACUCCAUCUUAAUGCCACCAUAUCAAUCACAGAAUCGCCUUCAUCUUCUCCUCCUCCUGUAGGUGUCGCUGGUGGUGCCAACGCACUGCUGCAUUUCCUCUUUAUCAUUGAGCCACAAAGAGCCGAAUUACCUUUAUAACUGCUGUCAUCAAAGGUGGCAAACUGCUCUUUGUCUGGGAUUGGGCCGGACAAAUUGUUGUAUGACACGUUGAAGUUUGAUAAAAAGUUGAGAUCAGUUAGUUGAGGAGGAAUUCGGCCACUUAAUUUGUUGCGGGAAAGGUCCAGGCUCUCUAUCAUUUUCAGAUUGGAGAAGCUCUCUGGUAUAGCACCUGAUAGUAAAUUAUUCGACAGAUUAAGUGCACGAAUAUGUUGAAGAUGCCCAAUUUCCCAUGGAAUUUCUCCACUGAACUCAUUGCUCGACAAAUCCAGUCCAGCCAUGUCGACGAGACUGCGACCGAUGAAAAAUUCAUAUCUAUACUUUGUCACAAAUUCUACACCUACUUGUCUAGCAUGUCGUUCACCUUGCGGCGGCUGAUCAAGAGUGGAAUUGUAGAAAGUAAAACUGAGAUCACGAGUUGACACAGCAAAUCCGGGUAUAAUAUUUGGAUAUAUCACUUCAUAUCUGUUUACAUGUGGAUAAUCAUCAAUCGCUUCUCUCCAGAAUGACACGUUACCCAAGCAUGAAGGUAUCGGCCCAUUAAGUCUGUUAUGUGAAAGAUCCAUGAUACCUAAUUUUCUUAAUAGGCACAACUGAUUAGGAAUACGUCCUUGUAGAGAAUUCCCUCUCAAAAGAAGAAAAUGCAAAUUCGAAAGCUCGUUGAUCUGAUGAGGAAUCCUACCAAAAAGCUUAUUGUCCCUCAAAUCUAGAGUCAAUAAUGUAGAGCUUCUAAGCAAUGCAAUUGGAAUUAACCCAUUAAUUGCAUUGUUAUGCAGAUAAAUGUGCUCCACUGAUGAAAGAUUGGAGAGAGAUACCGUGGACCCAGACAAACUAUUUUCGGAGAUGUCUAUAAACUCAAGACCUUCAAGAUUGCCGAGCUGGACCGGAAUAGUACCUUGCAAAUAAUUUUUUGACAUUAAAAGAACCCGAAGGCCUGAGAAGUUGCCAAUCCAGUGGGGAAUAUCGCUGGAUAACUUGUUGUUGGAUACAUCUAAUACCCCCAGCAAAGGGGAGUUCAACAAACCAUCUGUCAUCUUCCCACUGAAAUGAUUGUUGUCCAAAAGUAAGGAACGCAAAUGAGUCAAGUUCAUAAAAUUGGGAAAAAGUUGGCCAUAGAAAUUGUUAUUUGAUAGGUCCAACAUUUCUAAGGAGAGGCAACUAGAGAAUAUAGAUCGAGGUAAUUCUCCUGAAAAAUUAUUUCUAGAAAAAUCCAAAGUAAUUAGCUCUUUCAUCUCACUGAUUGAAUAAGGAAUAUUACCUUCAAAACUAUUUUUUGACAUAUCCAAAUAUAUCAAUUUCUGAAAGAUAAUACCCAAAUUCUCUGGUAGCUUACCAGAAAAAUUGUUACUGGAAAUAUCUAGAUAACGAAGCUUAUCGUAUUUGGCGUUGGGAAGUCGCGGAAGAAUUCCUGAGAAUGAGUUAUUCCACAAAAUCAAAACUUCUAAUCCUGUGUUGUUUUGCAACAACCAAGUUGGGAAAUUGCCAACCAACUGAUUGUGAGAGAGAUCAAGGAAUUUUAAGUUGUAUUGGUGUAAAAGAAAACUGGGAUUGACAUUUAAGUGGCAGUGAGAUAAUUGGAGAACCUUGAGAGGAUAUGUGGGGAGCCAGUUUUCGGUUUUCACUUGCAACAUAUCGUUUCCUGACGAGAGUCGCAAGACCUCAAGCUUUGAAUGAUUAGCCAAUGAAUUUAUUGAGAAUGUUCCUUGGAAAUCGAUGAAAGAGAGAUCCAAAUAUUCAAGUGAUGUGAGGUUGGUCAAGGCAGAAGGAAAGUUUCCACUUAACUGAUUGUAAGAAAUAUCAAGAACUUUGAGAUGGGUCAAGUUGUUGAGGCACUGAGGAAGGUGAACCACAAAAUUAUUUGACUUUAAAUCCAACUCAAGAAGAUUCUUCAAAUUACAUAUUCCUGAAAGUGAAAAUAAAAAGCUCAGAUUUCAUAAAACGAAAACUAAUUAUAGCGCAUUCAAUCAUAAACCCAAUAUAAGACUUAUAAAACGGACAUGAAAUCAAAUUGUCUAAGUAUUUUGGUCAACAUAAAUAAUAAUAGAAUGAUAUGAAUUUAUUUCUCAUAUAAUAUGAUGUUGAUUGCAAAAGCGUUUCAAUUAAUCUAACAAAAUAAUAAUAAUAAUAAUAUAAAAGCAGUCAGCAAUUCUUGCUCAUCAUAAUCCAUUCAAAAAGCGUUUCAGCAAUUCUCGUUGUUUAAAAUAAUGAUUUUCCGAGGAAGAGUUUGUUGACUUCGUCUUUUUCGUUGGAUAUUCGUUCUCUAAUCUCUAAAUUUGUUGGAUAAUGUAAAGAGAAACUCAUAAUAUAUUAGUUGCUUUCUUAAACUUUAUUUAUUCCUCUCAUAGCAUUAAACAAAACUAUUUGCCCUAGCAGAAAAAAAAAAAAAAAACUGGUCUUUAUAUUUAAUUUGGUGAAAGUACUUUGACCAACAAGUCACUGGGAAGUAGGAAUUGUGCAUCAGUAAUGCAAAUAUUGGGUGCGUUGGCAUUGUUUUUAUAUGCUGUUUUUUAUUUUUUGAUUUUAGAAAAUAUUAGAUACGUGUUCGGUAGAUUGUUUCUGAAAAUAUUUUUAAAAAUAUAAAAUUCAUUCUACACAUUUUAACAAAAGAAAUGAGAAACAAUUUUUUCUUAUUUUCCUUAUUUCCCAAUACAAAAUUAAGUUCCAAAAUGAAGAAUUCUCUGUACCUCCUCCUGAAAUAAUAAUAAUAUCAACAUUAUUAUUAUUAUUAUCAUUAGGUCUAAUUAUCUCUGGGUGACAGAUGUUUUAAUAAAUUUCAAAAAGAUGACACAUGUUUUGAAAACACUCGAGUGGGUGACAUUCCAUUAACUUUUGUUGUUAAUUUUAACCAGUCGAGGGUAGAAUUGAAAAAAUAAUUUUUUUUUUCAUAAAGCCAAAGAGAUGAAAAUAUUGAAUUUAUACAAUACUUUAUAAUUCAUAAGAUUUUUGCUUCUUUAUAUUCACAAAUCAGUUUGAUCAACAAGAAUUUUUUUAAAAUUUAUUUGAUUUAACAAAAAAAACUUGUUAAUUAGACUUAUGUUUAAUUUUUUUUUAUAUUUUCUAUUUAAAAAAUUAAAAAUGAGUGAGUAUGGGCAGAAACAUCAUUUUGUGGGGUAGAAACGUCAUUUAAUUUACUAUUCCCAUUAAAAUUAAUGACAAAAGUUAAUAGAAUGUCACUCGCUCGAAUAUUUUUAAAAAAUGUCAUCUUCUUAAAAUUUGUUAAAACAUAUGUCACCUAUUUGUUAAACAUAUGUCACCUAGAGAUUAUUAUUCUUAUUGUUGUUGUUGUUGUUGUUGUUGUACCCAAAGACUCAAUUUCCUUCACAAAAAUCUUUUCUUUUUAUAUACAUUAUAAUAUUUAUGUUUUUAUAUAUUAACUAAAUCAAAUAUGUAGGGUUUCUCAUUUUUCUUUGAACAAAAAAAUAGAAGGAUCACCUAAUUUAUUCUUAAAAUUAAAAUAAUCAAUAUACAUUGCUUAAUCUUAAGUUUAUGGAAAUUAUUCCAAUAAUAAUUCUUUGAGAUAUUCUUACCAAACAUAUUUAUGUUUUUCUCAUUUUUCAGAUUAUUUUUGAAAAUGAUACUGAACACAUUUUUAAAUUUUAAAAAUAAAUUUCAAAAUAGCAUUUUCAUUUUUAUUUUGUAAAAACAACAAUUAGAAAACAAUAUUGGGCUAUUAUUUAUCAUGUUUCAACAUAAAAACACAGUGUAAAUUGUUUAAUAUGGGUUUCUAGAGAAUUUUUUAUGUUACUAUUACUCAAAUUCAAUGCUUCCAAGCUUUUGAAUUUAGCUAAUCUUGCAUCAAGAAUUAAUGAACAUAAGAAAAAAAAAUUUCAUUCAGAACUAUAAAUAUUGAAAUAAAGAUAGAUAUCAUUGUUGAUCUUUUUAUAAAAAUGAUUUAGAAUUAAGAGAGAGUGAAAGAAAUGAGCGGGUUAUGUCGGAAAUUGGUGAUAGAGUAUAUCAAGUACUACACUUUGUAUAGAAAGCAGUGCUUCUAAUUUAAAUUUGAUCUAGUUUAAAGCAAUUAAAAAAUGGAAAUAUAUUAUCAUCUUGAUUAACAUCUAAAACAAUUUUAUCAUUGGAGGAAGUGAAUUGUUAUAUACCUUGAAUUGUAGUUAUCCCACAAUAACCAAGACCCAAUGUUUUCAAGUUUGGCAAAUCUGCGAAUCCUACAUGCGUCGAUAAAAAAUGAAAAUAUUACAUUUAAAGGCAUUGUAUGUGAUCCGCGUGUUUGAUGAACGUUAACUCUACAUUUAAUUUGCUUCUUAUCUCAAAUUCAGUGGCCUACCUAGCGUUGUCAGAUUUUGAUUAUCGCUUAAAUACAACACUUGCAGGUUUGUCAAAUUUGCUAAUCCUGCUAAAAAAAACAUAAAUUUUGUCAAUAACAGAUAUGUCACUCUCGUCUAAAUUGUUUAGUUAAAAUAAUAUGGUAAAUAUUGAAUGAAAAUUAACUGUGCACAUUGUUAUUUUUUUGUUUCUAUGGAUAUUUUAAUAUAUACCGUCACUUUUAGCAUUACCAAGAUUUGGAGUGUUUGAAUCAUAAUUUGUAAAUUAGUUUGCACUUUGAGUAAACUUGAAAAUGUGAAAAAAGCAAUUAAAAAAAAUGCAAAUAUAUUAUCAUCUUGAUUAACAUCUAAAACAAUUUUUGUCAUUGGAGGAAGUGAAUUGUUAUAUACCUUGAAUUGUAGUUAUCCCACAAGAACCAAGAUCCAAUGUUUUCAAGUUUGGCAAAUCUGCUAAUCCUACAUGCACCGAUAAAAAAUGAAAAUAUUACAUUUAAAGGCAUUAUAUGUGAUCCAUGCGUUUGAUGAACAUUAAUUCUACAUUUAAUUUGCUUCUUAUCUCAGAUUCAGUGGCCUACCUAGCGUUGUCAGAUUUUGAUUACCGCUUAAAUACAACACUUGCAGGUUUGUCAAAUUUGCUAAUCCUGUUAAAAAAAGGUAAAUUUUGUCAAUAACAGUUAUGUCACUCUCGUCCAAAUUGUUUAAUUAAAACAAUAUGGUAAAUAUUGAAUGAAAAUUAACUGUGCACAUUGUUAUUGUUUUUGUUUCUAUUGAUAUUUUAAUAUAUACAGUCACUUUUAGCAUUACCAAGAUUUGGAGUGUUUGAAUCAUAAUUUGUAAAUUAGUUUGCACUUGGAGUAAACUUGAAAAUGUGAAAAAAGCAAUUAAAAAAAUGCAAAUAUAUUAUCAUCUUGAUUAACAUCUAAAACAAUUUUUGUCAUUGGAGGAAGUGAAUUGUUAUAUACCUUGAAUUGUAGUUAUCCCAUAAGAACCAAGAUCCAAUGUUUUCAAGUUUGGCAAAUCUGCGAAUCCUACAUGCGCCGAUAAAAAAUGAAAAUAUUACAUUUAAAGGCAUUGUAUGUGAUCCGCGCGUUUGAUGAACAUUAAUUCUACAUUUAAUUUGCUUCUUAUCUCAGGUUCAGUGGCCUACCUAGUGUUGUCAGAUUUUGAUUACCGCUUAAAUACAACACUUGCAAGUUUGUCAAAUUUGCUAAUCCUGUUAAAAAAAGGUAAAUUUUGUCAAUAACAGUUAUGUCACUCUCGUCUAAAUUGUUUAAUUAAAAUAAUAUGGUAAAUAUUGAAUGAAAAUUAACCGUGCACAUUGUUAUUUUUUUGUUUCUAUGGAUAUUUUAAUAUAUACCGUCACUUUUAGCAUUACCAAGAUUUGGAGUGUUUGAAUCAUAAUUUGUAAAUUAGUUUGCACUUUGUGUAAACUUGAAAAUGUGAAAAAAGCAACUAAAAAAAAUGCAAAUAUAUUAUCAUCUUGAUUAACAUCUAAAACAAUUUUUGUCAUUGGAGGAAGUGAAUUGUUAUAUACCUUGAAUUGUAGUUAUCCCACAAGAACCAAGAUCCAAUGUUUUCAAGUUUGGCAAAUCUGCGAAUCCUACAUGCGUCGAUAAAAAAUGAAAAUAUUACAUUUAAAGGCAUUGUAUGUGAUCCGCGCAUUUGAUGAACAUUAAUUCUACAUUUAAUUUGCUUCUUAUCUCAGAUUCAGUGGCCUACCUAGCGUUGUCAGAUUUUGAUUAUCGCUUAAAUACAACACUUGCAGGUUUGUCAAAUUUGCUAAUCCUGUUAAAAAAAACAUAAAUUUUGUCAAUAACAGAUAUGUCACUCUUGUCUAAAUUGUUUAAUUAAAAUAAUAUGGUAAAUAUUGAAUGAAAAUUAAUUGUGCACAUUGUUUAAUUAAAAAAAUUAUUGUCUAAAGAACCGUGUAUAUAAUAAUUAGAACUCAAAUCCAACGCUUCCAAGUUUUUUAAUUUAGCUAAUCUUGCGCCAAGAAAGAAGAAAAAUCUUAGUAAUCGUCUUUGGGAAAAAAAUAAAGAAUUAAGAAAUUAGAUUAAAUAAUUGUAGUAAUAAAGCAUAUGACUCAGAUCUAAUUAAAUUGAUCAUAUACUCAAAAAUGAUUUUUUUUUAAAUUUUACUAAGAAAUUAGAAAGUAAUUUUUUGCCGUAUACCAAUUGUAGUCAAGUUUGUCAAGUUUUCCAGUCAAAAAUUGGUUUUAAUUUGACAUUAUACAUGUGUAAAAAUUAAGGGCAUAAUAAUAUCACAAGGAAUUUGGGUAGUGACUUGUUGCCGUGUGCUGACUUGGUAAUUAUCUCAGUAGCCUACCUAGCCUUGUUAAAGAGCCACUAGUUAUAUUGAAGUUCAAGCUUAGAUCCAACACUUGCAAGUAUCUCAAAUUUGCUAAUCCUGCUCAGAAAACAUUAAUUUUGAUCAAGACAAUAUAAAUAUACAUUUUAAUUAAGAAAUUAAUUAAGUUGCCUGAUAUGUAUAUCUGCUGGCCUGAAACGUAUAUGUAUACCUUGCUUGGUUCUGGAACCUUCAAUGGAAUUGGAAUUAAGAAUCAAAGUGGUAAGUGAAGUUAGUGUAUUCAAAUAUGGUAAUAUGCUGUCGUUGAAGAAAUUAAGACCAAGAUUUAACAUCUUCAGCUGCUUCAAACUCCCAAAGCUAUCGUAAGCUGCAAAUGCAUAUGAAGUGUUAUUAUUAAUUAGUCACUGACAAAAUAUUUAUGGACAAGAAAUAAAUGUAUACAUAUAUACGGACCUCUAUUCUCAUAGAUGCCUGCAAACCCAUUCCCAGAUAAGUCAAGACUUUGCAGUUCUUCAAAAGGAUGAAACAAUGACAUAUUCAGAACCAAAACUCCCUCCCAAUAAACAGAGUUAUUGAUCAGAAGCGAAGCCGAAGUACUAUCAAAAUAAUUCAAUCUGUGUGUAUGAUUGAGUGAGAGUUGCAUCACGCGUCGUGUGGUGGCGCUGCACUUAACUCCCUCCCAAUCAUCACAACAAUCAGACGGCAUUCCAUCAUCCUCACCAACCCAUGAAGGAAGAAUUUUGUCAUCAUAUCCAAUAUCACUGACUGAUGAUAUGAAGAAGCUCUUGAUUUCCAACAGAGCAGUCCUCUCUGUUUCCAAGCAUCCUUUGUAUCCAUGCAUUUCAUUCAUCAAUACAAUAAUCCAAAUUAGUGACAUUAAUGAGAACUUAAUACAGGAAGUACUUUCCAUUGCAGAGCAACUUUUCAUUUGGUUAAAAUUAAAUGUGCAAUGAGCAACUUUCCAUUGCAGAGCAAUUUAUACUAAAAGUUUAUCGCAGGUCUUGCAAUUUGAUUGGCUGAAGACUUUUUUAAGACUUUGAAGACUUGUAAGCAUUCCAUGUUUGGCAGCAUUCGACCAACGGGAAAAAGCACUUCAUUAAUACCCCGGGGAAAAUAUAGAUAAAGUGAUUAUAAACUAUAAAUUUUUCCAAUAGUUUGAUGGAGAUAAUCAUAACUAAUAAAAUAAAAGUUGACUGAGAGAAUUUAAAUAAUUUAACCGCAUGUUUGGAUUUCCAUUGCAUUAUCAGUCAAUCUAUUAAAUAAUGUGUUUUGAGAAGAAUUUGAUUGGAUGUUUGAUGAGUUUAAAUUAAUUUAUUAGAAAAUCAAUAAUUAAUCAACGUAAAUCUUCGUGUAUGUUUAGUUAGUGUGGCGUAGUCUGAAAUGACAAAACACAUAAAUGUUAUUUGAAGCUCUUGUGACCCUUUGUGUUCCUGCAUUCGGAUAAGGAAAGUUUCCAUUGCUCCAGUCUACACUCUUCACUACUAUUACAAUCACUUGAAAUGACAAAAACAGAAACUUCGUAUGAACAUGGGACCGAUGUACGGGUCCAAUUUAAAUGACCCUAGCUAAUUUUGCAUAUAUUAUUGCAACUACGUGGAAAAUUAAAGUUGACUGACUUUCAAAUUAAGCCAACAAACAAGUGGCCAUCAACUCUUUUCCCUCUAUGAUUGGUUUUUUUUUUUUUUUUAAAUUGAAUUGUAAGAUUGGGUUUGCAUUGAAUUAUCCAACAAUCUAUUCAAGCAUUGAUAUUUGAUAUUAUCAAAUAUUUAAUGGGUUUUGAAAAUUAUUUACUAGAUUUUUGAUAAAUUGAUUUUUAUUAUUUCAUGAUCAAUAAUUAAUCAAGUAAUUUUAUAUAUAUAUAUAUUUGGUAUUUGGUAAUUUACUCAUAAAAAGUGUGGAUCACAUUGAAAUGUUAUUUUAUAUGAUGCAUGACAUACGGAGAGGUGCAGUUUAAAUGCGCAAAUAAUUUAUUUAUUAUAACAUGCAAUCAUUGAGUUAAAGCGCAAGCGUGAGUUUGGAUUUGAAAUAUUCAAAUAAUUUAUUUCAUUAUUGAUUCUUAAAUAACAUGCUUUGGAAUUAAUAGUUCGAUAGGAUGUUUGAUAUAUUGAAAUUUGUGAUAAUCAAUAAUCAACUAAUUUUCAUUCAUAUUUAAAGAUUUUAAUAAAUUACUCAUAAAAUUGUGGCGUAUAUUGAAAUGACAAUCAAUCUUGAUAUUGACUGACAAUCAAUUUUUAUAGUGAUUGGCACUUAAGACAAUCAGUUUUGGUCUCCGUAAUGACUAAUGAAGAAUUGUAAGCCUGAAAUUCCACAUGUUGCAAUGUUGGACCAAUGAGGGAAAUGCUUCAUUAACAUUACAUGGAAAAUAAAUGUUGACUGACUUUCAAAUUAGGCCAACAUACAAGUAGUCGUCAAUUCUAUUUUUUCCAACAGUUGAUAAAGAUGGCAAGUUAAGAAAAAAAAAAGUUGAUUGAGAUAAUUUAAAGAAUUUAAGCGUAAGUUUGGGUUUGAAAUUAUCAAAUAAUUUAUUCCAGCAUUGAUUCUUAAAUAAUGUACUUUGGAAUUAAUAACUCAAUAGGAUGUUUGACAUAUUGAAAUUUGUGAAAAUCAAUAAUCAAUUAUUUUUCAUACAUGUUUAGACAUUUUAAUAAAUUACUCAUAAAUUUGUGGUGUACACCGAAAUAAUAAGUUAAUAAAUUGAAAUGAUAUCUAAAACUCUUGAGUCCCUUUGUAUCCUUGCAUUAAUUUGAAUUGAAGCUCGAAUUAAAAUCGAAGACCCAUAUUGAGAAUUUAUAUAAGUAACUUAAGAGUAUGAUUGGGUUUACAUUGACUUAUAUAUAUCAAACAAUAUAUUCAAGCGCUGAUAUUCUCAAAAAAAGAAAAAAAAAGACAAUCAAUCUUUGCGUCAACUGAUAUUAUUGAUUGGUAAUAAAUCUUAGUAGUGAUUGACAAAGCUUGGGAAAAUCACUCUCGGUGAUUAAUAGUCUUCGUCCUCAUCUUUGUUUUGAUCGUUGUGAUAGAGGAUGAGUGGUGCGUAAGAGAGGGUUCAUCGCUUGCGGAAUUUUCGCGGCCAUUCAAGAAUCAGGAUGGUUGUUGUAGAAUUCCACGAGAAUUGGCCUUGCAAUUAGGGAAAGUUCAAUAUUAAUUUAUACUAAAAGUUUAUCUUAGGCCAAUCACAAUGACCACCAAAACCUAUGAAUAAUUAGUCCAUCGAAACCCAAUGUAUGCUCAAUUAAUAUUUCCUAUCAAGAUCAAAUUUUUCGCUCUUCACCAAUCAUGAGCAUAAAAGCUCGAUUUAUACAAAAAUUAAGAAUUUAUGAAAAAAAGUCACAAUUAUUAUAAUUGGAAGUUUGAUUGAUUUUUAAAGAUUGAUUCAAUCAAUCUUAAUGUUACUGGACAAUCGAUCUUAAUAUUAAUUCAAAAUCAAUCUUUAUAGCAAUUGGCACAAAUAAAGAUAAUUAGUUUUGGUCUCUAUAAUGACUGACGAAGACUUGUAGGACCUGGACCAAUGAGGAAAAACGCUUCAUUAAUACUCCAUGGAAAAUAAAUGUUGACUGACUUUCAAAUUAAGCCAACAUACAAAUGGUCGUCAAUUCUAUUUUUUACAAAAAUUGAUGGAGAUAGUCAACUAAUAAAAUAAAAUUGAUUGAGAUAAUUUAAAGAAUUUAGGCAUAAGUUUGGGUUUUAAAUUAUCAAAUAAUUUAUUCCACUAUUGAUACUUAAAAAAAUGCUUUGGAAUUCAUAAUUCAAUAGGAUGUUUGAUAAAUUGGAAUUUGUGAAAAUCAAUAAUCAACUAUUUUCACAAUAAACUGAGAUUUUUUUUUUUUGAAAGCCAAUAGAAACAUGAAUUAUAGUACAUCCAUCGAUUGACGUAUAAUUAUAAUCAUAUAAUCAAACACGCACACUACAAGGCGACCUUCGAUUGACGUAUUCUGUCGACUAACCCAGGGACAUGGAGGAUGUUUUAACGUUAUAUAAAAAAAAAAUGAUGAAUAAUAUAGUUCCCGGCAGUGCUAAAAAAUGAUCAAUAAUCGGAUGAGGAAAUUUACGAAAGAUUUAUUAAAUGAUCAGAGACUUUCUGCAAUUUCAUUGACUUAUUCUACGAUAAUUAUAAUCAAACACGCACACUGCAAGGCGACCUUCGAUUGACGUACUCUGUCAACUAACCAAGGGACAGGGAGGAUGUGUGUUGACGUUAACCAAUAGCCAAGUUUAUAAACACAAUCAAGCAAUCAUAUGAUCAAUCAGAGCCACAUUCGACGCACGACUAGUAAAUAUCAUAAUUGAGUUUGAGGACCACAGCCUUACGGUGAAAGAAUUUGAAUGGAGAUCACUGCCAAAUCGUUUUUUGUCUGGGAUCAGACCAGACAAGUUCUUGUAUGACUCGUUAAAGUUGGAUAAAUAGUUGAUGAGUGAUCUGAAGAUCACUGAUAAGAAAUUUUGUCAUUUUUGUUUGGUAAAUUAUUCGUAAAAUUAUGGUCUACUCUGAAAUUACAAAAAUAAGCAUAAUUAAUUUGGAUAAAGGAAAAGCAAAGGAAAUUGAGAAGGAAACCAGAGGAAGGCUAAAGAAAAAUAAGCCGAUUCAUCAGUAACUCAAGAUCACAACUUUGGAUUUUUUUAGCAUCUGAAAUUUCAACAACUAUUCAAGUGAUGCGAGGUUGGUCAAGGUGGAAGGAAAGUUUCCACUUAAUUGAUUAUUAGAAAUAUCAAGAACUUUGAGAUUGGUCAAGUUGUUGAGACACUGAGGAAGGUGACCCUCAAAGUUAUUUGAGCUUAGAUCCAACUCAAAAAGAUUCUUAAAAUUACAUAGUCCUGAACUUGAAAAUAAAAGAUCAAAAUUUUAUAGAAUGAAAACUAAUUAUAGCAAAUUCGAUCAAAAUCCAGUACAAGACUUAAAAAACAGACAAAAAUCGAAUUGCCUAAUUAUUUUGGUCAGCACAAAUAAUAAUAGAGUAAUGUGAACUUAUUUCUCAUAUAAUAUGAUGUUGAUUGCAAAAGCGUUUCAAUAAUCUGGAAAAAGGGGAAAAAAAAAUAAGCCCUCAGCACUUUUUGUUUAUCAUAGCCCGGAGUCCUUCUUGUUUAACAUUAUGAUUUUCUGAGGAAGAAUUUGUUCACUUGAUGUUGUUCAUUGGACAAUGGUUCUGUAACCUCUAAACCUAUUGGAUAAUGUAAAGAGAAAUUCAUAAUAUUUUAGUUGUCUUCUUAAAUAAUAAAUUGUCUUAAAAUACAAUUAAUUUGUCUUAAAUUUAAUCUAUUUCUCAGUAUUUAAAGAAAAACAAAAAGAAAAAAAGAAAAAGAAAAACGAACUGGUCUUCAUAUAUAAUUUUGUCCAAGUACUUUGAUCAACAAAUCAUUAGGAAGGUGGUGUAUCAGUGAUGCAAAUAUUUAAUUAUCAUGUUUCAACAUAACAAUUCUGUGUAAAUUGUUCACUUUAUGUUUCUAGAGAACUGUUUAUAUUAUUAUUACUACUCAAAUUCAAUGCUUCCAAGUAUUUGAAUUUAAUUAGCUAAUCCUGUAUCAAGAAUUAAUUAAUGAACAUAAGAUAAAUGUCAUAUUAGUUAGAUUUAGAUUUUUUUUUCCAGUUUUGAUGUAUAGAUAAUGUUUUCAACUGGUUUUGGGGUAAGAAAAGCCAAACCAAUCUAGAACAAUAAAUUUGUUAUUUUGAGGGGAGAUGGGGUACCUCACUGGUUUAUUGUGUGUUGGGCGGUGUAUCUAAGAUUUUGGGGAGGUGAGAAAGGGAGAGAGAGUGGUAACAAUGGUGGAAGAUCAGAAACAAGAGAGGUAUCCUUCAAAAUGAGCUUCACGCCUGCAAAACAAUGAAAUAGAGGUUAGAGGUGAAGCCGGGGGUACCCCGGCGUUCACACUCCGACGCUCAAGUUAGCAAACUCAAGCUUUUAUUGCAAAGAGAGCUAGCUAGCCCUCUGUAAAUUAGGGUUUAAGGUUGAAGAAAACCUCUUUUUUGGAGUGUGAGUGUUUUUGGGCGAAUGAGAGCAUGAUGGAGAAUGAAACCUAGGCGCCUUUAUAUAUGGAGUACCUUAGCUGCCACGUGGCAUACCCUUUUUGGCUAACGUCCUUUUACCGCUUUUAUGAUUCUUGGGGCCGUUAUGUGCAUGUUCGCGGCGUAUCUCAUCUUUUGGAAACGUGGCGCGCGCUGGAGAGUGGUCCAGGGUACCUCUGCAGUAGCUGUCGGGUAGGCGGCUAGGGACCACUGUCCUUGGGACAGUGUCCUUCACUUUUGGCAGAGGUAGCAGACGGCUGUCCCUCCUUUUAGCACGUCGCUUUUGAUUCCUAAUUCUGACAAAAUCAAAUGAUAUCUUUUAGGAGGCGGAGACGUUUCUCAUGGCGGAUAUUUUCGGUGGAUUCUCUUGCAUCCGCUUUGCCGGGUACCUCGAAUUACAUGGGGUACCCCCUAUUACGCAGGGUACCCCUAUCUGUAUGGGAUACCUCUAUUUGUAUGGGGUACCUCUAUUUGUAUGGGGGUACCUCUAUUUGUGUGGGAUACCUCUAAUUGUGCAGGGUACCUCUAUUUAUACGGGGUACCUCAAGUCAUGUCGGGCACCUCGGAUUAUGUAGGGUACCUCCGAUUGUGCUGAUAUCAUUCCAUUGGCUGACACGUGGCGCUCUAUUACCUUUCCCAUCUUUCCCUCAAACAACAUCCCCCUAGUUUCUUUUUGGCGAGAAGUAUUGGAGGCAAAAGAAACUUAUUGUAUGAGUGACACGUGGCGAUGCGGCUGGAUCGGAGGGUACCUUGCUUAGCUUCUUCCCUUGACUAAACUUUGUGUACUUCAAACUAAAAAUCUUCUCUUUGUCUUUUCCUUUUCCCGCUUUUUUUUUUUUUUUUUUUACACGAUGAGAACGAACAGUUGUCUUCAUAUGUCUCUCUCCUUUUUCUUGGGAAGUGGCAGCCGUCUGACACGCAGUUUGAAUUUUGAAAAUACAAAUCUCACUCAAACAUCCUUGAACUCCUUUCUUGAGCAACGUGUUCUGUCAGGUUGAAUUUAAAACUCCUGACGUGUGUCAAAGUUUUGAAAAUCCCCAAACGAACUCCCAAAAAUUGAUUAUUUCCAGUAGCCUUUUUCUUCCAUAAUUUCGUCUCUUCUUCUAACUGGAUCAACAUUUCCAGUAGCCUUUUUUUUUUUUUUUUUUUUUUUUUUUUUUUUUUUUUUUAGCCUUGUUCAUCUUCCCUAGGCUUUACUCUCCCUUUACUCUUUUUCUUUUAUUUCUUUCCCAUUUUCUUUCUCCCUUUUCUUUCUCACGUUUCUCUUUCCUUUUUCUCUCUUUUCCUUCUUCCUUUUCUUUCUUUCUUCUUUCUCUUUCUCUCUCGGCCGGCGUUGAUCUGGUACGUUUUCCGGCGUGGAUCUCGGCUGCUGCAGUGGCGGUUUUGGGCUCCAGAUCUGGUCGGUUCAAGGCGAUUUCCGGCGGCUCACGGCGAGAUCUCAGUCCGGCGAUACACACGGUAACCCCUCCUUCAUCGUUUCUUUAUUUUUCCCUUGGUGCUUUCUCUCUUCCUUCCCUUUUCUUCUCUUUUUCGUUUCGGCUUGGUGUUUUUCUCUGUGAUUUCCGGCGUCGGUUUGGUGUGGUUGCAGCCGGCGUCGGUUCGGUGCUUGCAGCCACGACAGCCGGCGUCGGUUUGGUGGCUGCUGUCCCUUCUUCCGUGUUGUCUUCUCUGUUCUUCGUUUUCUUUUUUUUUUUUUUUUUUUUGGCUGGCGUCCUCCUUUGGCGGUUUCCGGCAUCCUUCUCGUGAUCUCCGGCGUCGGUUCUCGGUGGUUGCAGCCAUGACAUCUGACGCCGGUUGCUGCAGCUUCUUCGUUCUUCAUUUUAUUUAUUCAUUUAUUUAUAAAUAACUAUAUAUAUUUAAGCUUAUUUUUGUUUUUAUACUUGCAUAUUUUUACCCACUAUUUUUGGUUGCCUGCAGCUUCAUUUCGCCGCGAUUAUCAAUCCCGAUCUGUUGAAUUGGUGAAUCACAGGUAUCCCUCCUCGCUUCUCCUCCUUUGGCGCAUUCACAGUGGCGCUAUUUUGCAUACUCUGAGAAAAUUUUGUUUUUGGUUUUUGUUGUUUUUUUUUUUUUUGUUUUGUUGGUUGGUGUUUGCAUUUGGUGGUUGAUGUGUGGUGGAUGGUGCUUGGUAUGGAUAUAUUGCUGUUUGGAAAACAUGUGGCUUGUUGGAUGUGUUGUUGGGGGCUUGUGGAUAUGUUGUUGGGUGUAUCGUUGGGUGUAUUGUUGGGGAACUUGUGGAUGUGCUGUUAGGGGCUUGUGGAUGUGCUGUUGGGGAACUUGUGGGUGUGUUGUUGGGGAAAAGUAGAUGGGCAAAAAGCACACGGGACCCCCGAUGAAGCGACGUAAAGUUGGGGCUAGUAGGGUUGACAACCCUCCUGCGGGUUCCCCUUCCCACAUCUCCAUCAGCGAGGGGGAUCGGUCCCCUCCUAAUUCCUCUAUGAGUUGCAAUUCUCGUUCUGAGCCCCCUCCUCCUAGGAGUACCCCUCGUGUCAGCCCACGCUUUCCUAGUAGACGGCCUACCCCUCAUCCUCGAAAGAAGGGUAAGCCAACCAAGCCUAAGGUUCCAGCUCGUUCCUCGGACCAGCCGCCUAAAUCUCCCCCUGCCACACCUUCAAAAUCUAGCAACCCUUUUUCCCUAGGCAUUAGGAGGGCUACUUUGGGGGAGUUGGAGCAAAUUAGAGCCAAAUACAAUAUUCCUCCGUCUGUCCAGCUUAGGGUACCCCAUGUGAAUGAGCGACCCGAGUGUCCAAAGUCUGAUGGGAUUGCUCUCCAUAUCGAUCUCUUCGAUCUAGGACUCCGCCUGCCCCUCCAACCAUUCUUUAUGAAAAUGUUUAGUUACUUGGGGGUAGCUCCUGGGCAGCUGUCCCUUCCAGGGUGGAGGACACUGACGGGCUUACAUGUGUUAUGGUUGGAGGUCGUGAAGCGCGACAUUUCUGUUCGGGAGUUGAGGGGCCUUUACCAAUUCAAGAAGCCUAAGGGUCCCGGCAUUGCUUACUUCUCUCCCUGGGGUGAUCAUGGCCACAUCGUUGAGGGGAACCCCGCCUUGAAGAAGGGUUACCGAAAGGGAUGAUUUGUCGCUGAGGGUACCUCCCACAGCGGGUCAAAGGGUACCCCUCGCUCGAAGAAGAGAAAAUUCGGGCUGGUUUCUACUUUUCCCGAUGAGUUACGUGAGGGUGACUUAGACCCGGCUUCUAACAAGGAGGUUUCGCACUUGGCUCGCCACUUUUACUACUCUGCUGAAAAUGUUACCUCCGAGGUUGCUGAAGAGGUUGACAAGAUGAGCUUGAGCCAGCGUUAUGGUCAAGCACUUAGGGCUACCCAAGAGGUAGGCUUUCUUGGGGUACCCCGGGUGUACUCUUCAUCAUUUUCUUUUUACUUAUUUGAUCUUUUCGCCAUACACAUAUAUUUAACAUGUCUUGCAUGACCCGCAGGCAUCCUUUCUCCUUAGCCACUGCCUUCCGGAUCUCGACUCCCUUGUUGCCGCACAGUCAGAGGUCGACAAGUUAAGGAGUGAGCUUCAAAGCCGUCAAUCUCGUGAGGAUCAGCUCGCUCGAGAAGUUAAAACUCUGCAAGAACGCAUUGCUGGCCUAUCGGGAGAGAAAGCUAGGGUGGAGAAGGAUUGUGAGGAGUUGAGGGCCACCAACGGGGAUCUGCUAUCUCGGCAAAAGACGAUGGCGGAGGAUGCAUUCUCACUCAUCAUGACAGAGGUGUGGAGUGUGGAUCCGGCGUUGGAGGUACCCCGCGUGCAGAAAUUUGUCAACAAGGCUGCCAUUCUGAAGACAAUUGCAGAGCGGAAGAAGUCUUCCCAGGCACGGUCGGGUACCCCUUCUGGGUCGCCUGGGGUACCCCAUCAGCCUCAGUCGUUGCCCGCCUCGGAUGCCCCUAUUUCGGCGGCUCAUAUUCCGGGUACCUCGGAGUCUUCUGCCGAUCGCCCUCUAGAGACGGAUGUUGGGGAUCGCGUUCCCCCCUCGGUGUAGCCUUCUCACUGUGCUCUUGUUUAUCGGAUCUAUCCACAUUUUGCUAUUUGGACCUUGUUUAUUUCUUUUUGGUUUCUCGGGAUAUUUUGUUUUAUUGAGACUUCUCUUUUGUUAUGAUACCAUACCAUCUAGUCCUCUUGUACUUUGCAUUAUUCUGCAAAUGAAUGCUUGGCUAAACUGUUAUCUUACAAAUUCCUAGGGUACCUCUCAUUUCAUCAUUUUUUUUAAAAUGGGGUACCCCUGGUACCUUAACAAGUAUUCAACAUCAGGCGCCUGCUGGUUUACACUGAGCGGCGAAUUUGGUGCAUGCCCUCCUCGGCAACCAUGGCGGAUUUUCCACAAAUAGGUAAUCAAAACAUCGUCGCGACAUCUCGAUCAAAAAUUGAAAGUGCGCAAUUGGUCCAACCAAUCAAUUUCUUAUUCUUUCGAAGUGCUCUCCGAAUUUUUGAAUAGCUUACCCCAUACUUUGCAAAAGUACGAGGAUGGAGGUGUGGGUGUUCUCAUACCUAAGCCGAACUUCGUGCCGCUAGGGUAUGCCGGUUUUUCUUCACCCUCGGGUCCUCUUUGACCCUCCCUCUCUUUGUCUAGGUAGCUUUGUCAUGCUUCCGCAGAAAGGCUACCCCUGGGCUGUUCACUCCAUUGCCUAUCUUGGCUUUACACAGAUCGUCACGAUCUAGGCAUAUCAAGUACCUUGGCUGGUCCUGUGAUAGGUUAGUCAUAACUGACAAGCGUAUGGCGAGAAUUGCAUAUAACCAGAUGCGAGGGUAUAUUAAUGGCGAUAAAUGAAUGUAAUCUGCAUUCUAAGAUCGAAGUGGCGAAAAAUAAAGAAAGAACUCACAUCAUAUUUGUUGAGAAAGAAAAUGCAUUUAUAGAUAACGAAAGCGUUGAUCAAUACAUGACUUAGCUUUGUUACCCUGAGGAGAAUGGGAGACCGCAAGACCUCCUAUUCUUUUCAUUUGAAAAUUAAAGAAACUCUAAAGUUGUAACUGACCAACAUAGGGCAUUUGGGGUACCCUAUUUGGCAUACCACACAAAAACAUUAAAGAAAGCAAAUAACAGCAAAAGACUAAAGGUUGAGACACUGUCCUUUAGUAAUAUUUCCGUAGCAUUGCAGCGUUCCAGGGGUGCCUCACAAUUGUGCCAUCCAUGUGGAGUAGCCUGUAUGCACCUGUCCCAACGGGUUUGUCGAUGCGGUAAGGUCCUUCCCAAUUUGCCCCGAAAGCACCUUCGUAGGGUACCCUAGUGUUCUGAGUUACCAUUCUCAAGACUAAGUCUCCUUUCUUGAAGGAUCGAGGGCGUACCCUUUUUUCAUAUAGACCCGAAAUGCGAUGCUGAUAUAUGGAUGUCCUCAGUUCUGCUCUAGCCCUUUUUUCAGCUACCAAAUCAAGGUUUGAAGCAACCAAGGAGGUGUUCUCGGCCUCAUCGAAGUAUUCAACCCUGUGAGAGGGUACCCCGAUUUCUGCUGGAAUCACUGCGUCAACACCGAAUGCGAGGGAAAACGGGGUCUCCCUGGUGGAGGUGUUUUGAGUAGUCCGGUAUGCCCACAGUACGCCAGGUAGCUCGUCUACCCAUGCUCCAUUUCUUUCCUCUAGCUUCUUCUUCAGGAUACCUUUGAUAAUCUUGUUAACGGCUUCGACUUGCCCAUUAGAUUGGGGGUGGGCAGGUGUAGCAAAUCGGUUGGCUAUCCCCAACUCCGAACAAAAUCUUCAGAAUUUUUCAUUAUCGAAUUGCUUGCCGUUAUCACUGACAAUUGCAUAGGGGAUUCCAAAUCUGCAAAUGAGGUUCUUCCAAAUGAAUUCGGUGGUUUUCCUUUCUGUGAUGCUUGUUAGUGGCUCCACUUCCGCCCAUUUUGUAAAAUAAUCUACCGCCACGAUUGCAUGUUUUGCUUGCCCCUUUCCGGUAGGCAAUGGGCCAAUGAGGUCCACUCCCCACAUAGCGAAGGGCCAAGGGGAAGAUAUAACUGUUAGCUUCUCUGGGGGUAGAUGGGGUACCCUAGCGAACCUCUGGCAUUUGUCACAGCUUCGUACCAUAUUCUUGGCAUCCUCCCGCAUGGUUGGCCAAUAGUACCCCUGACGGAGAGCUUUUUGCGCCAGUGAUUGUGCUCCAUAGUGAUUGCCACAAAUCCCCUCAUGUAUCUCCCUCAUGACAUACUUGGCCUCGUCGCUUCCCAAGCAUCUAAGGUAAGGAAGAGUGAACCCUCUUCUAUAUAGGGUAUCCUGGAUCAAGCAAUACCGGGCAGCUUUAUACUUUAGUCUUCUCGCUUCACUUUUAUCUGAGGGGAGGUCUCCGUCCUUGAGGUGCCUUAUGAUAGGCUCCAUCCAAAGUACCUCGUUGGACAGUGAUCCUACUUCCAACGGCUCUAGGAGAUCAAUGCUGGGGGUGGGUAUGUGUUCUGUUGUGAUGGGGCCAGCUGACUGAGCUACACCAAGGGACGCCAUUUUUGCUAGGGUAUCGGCUUCGCUGUUCUCCAGUCGGGGUACCCUUUCCACUUUAACCUCGCAAAAUUGGGACAUUAAUUCUCUGGUUUUUUCGAGGUACCCCUUCAUGUUUUCCUCUUUCGCCUGAUAUUGUGCGGUAAUCUGGCUUACCACCAACUGUGAGUCACUCUUGACGUGUACCCUUUUUGCUCCCAAAGCCUUUGACAUCCUCAACCCCGCUAUGAUUGCCUCAUACUCGGCUUCGUUGUUUGAAGCCUUGAAUCCGAAUUGCAGGGCGUAGUAUAUUUUCACCUUGUUCGGGUUGAUGAUAAUAACUCCUGCGCCACUUCCGUGUGAGUUAGAGGAACCAUCCACAUAUAUUUCCCAGACCUGCUCCUCUUCAUUGGUGGGUAGGGUAUCUAACAGGUAUCUCAGAUCACAUUCACCACUUGAGUCAUUGGCGAAUUCCGCAAUGAAAUCAGCAAUGGCCUGAGCUUUAAUCGCCGAACGAAGCUUGAAGAUGAUGUCGAACUCGCUUAAUUCGAGGGACCAUCGGAGAAGCCUUCCGGACAUGUCUAACUUCUGAAGGAUUUGCCGGAGGGGAAGGUUGGUGACGACUGCAAUGGUGUGAGCCUGAAAAUAUGGUCUGAGCUUCCGUGCGGAGAUAACCAAUGCCAAAAUGAUCUUCUCAGAGGUGGGGUACCUUUUUUCGGCAUCAACCAUAGCCUUACUAGUGUAGUAAAUAGGUCGUUGUACCCCAUUAUCAUCCUCUCGGAGUAACACAGAGCUGGUGGCAUGCUCGGAUACGGCGAGAUAUAGCAGCAGCACCUCUCCCGGCUCAGGUUUGGCAAGUAGUGGAGCAUUCACGAGGUACCCCUUCAGUUCUUGGAAAGCCUCUUCGCAAUCGGGUGUCCAUUGGAGCUUUUUACCGGUCUUCAAAGCUUUGAAAAAGGGCUUACACCGAUCGGUAGCCUUGGAGAUAAAACGGCUCAGAGCAGCUACCCGACCUGUUGUACCAUGAACCCGAGAAACUUUCCCGAGGUUACCCCAAAUGCACAUUUUUCAGGGUUUAGCCGCAUCUGAUGUUUUCUCAAAACGGUAAAGGUAUCUCUGAGGUGCCCCAGGUGUUACCCCAAAUGCACAUUUUUCAGGGUUUAGCCGCAUCUGAUGUUUUCUCAAAACGGUAAAGGUAUCUCUGAGGUGCCCCAGGUGUUACCCCAAAUGCACAUUUUUCAGGGUUUAGCCGCAUCUGAUGUUUUCUCAAAACGGUAAAGGUAUCUCUGAGGUGCCCCAGGUGUUCCCCCGCAUGCACCGAUUUGGUGAUCAUGUCGUCUAUGUACACCUCCAUGGUGCGCCCGAUUUGUUCUUUGAAAAUUUUGUUCACUAGCCGCUGGUAGGUAGCCCCGGCAUUCUUCAAACCAAACGGCAGGCGUCCAUAAAACUAAGCAUUUCAUGCCUCGCUGUUGCAUCAACCAGCUGGUCCACCCGAGGAAGCGGGAAGCUAUCCUUGGGGCAGGACUUAUUCAAGUCGGUGAAGUCCACGCACAUGCGCCACUUUCCGUUUGAUUUCUUGACAAGAACAACGUUGGACACCCAAUCGGGGUACACUGCUUCCCGAAUAAACCGUGCUGCUGAUAGGCGGUCUACCUCUUGUUCAAUUGCAUCGUACCUCUCUUGAUUGAAGGCGCGAUGCUUCUGUUUGACCGGUUUAUUAUGCGGGCUGACAUUGAGUUUGUGACAUGAGAGAGAAUGUGGGAUACCCGGCAUAUCCGAGUAGGUCCAAGCAAAUACAUCGAGGUGCUCACAUAGGAAGGUGAUGAGUUUCUCCCUUUGUUCCUCCGAGAGGUUGGAGCCUACUUUCACUGUCUUUGUUGGGUCGGUGGCGCAAAUCGAGACUGAAAUAAGAUCUUCAACUGGGGUACCCCGCAUUUCAUCUUUCAAUAUCCGGGGAUCCAAAGGUGCCUCAACUUCACAUCUGGGCUCCUCCUGGUCCCCGUGGGGUACCCUCGAGCUAUCCCCCGUAACUGCUUCCAUCUCCCUUGGUGAAAACUCCAACUUUUCUCGUGGGUGGGCUACUUGAGGAGAUUUUUUCAGUACUGUUCUCCGCUGUCUAGCAAGUGCUCGCUUUGAGGGGGAAGGUGUGGGCUGGCUGCCACUAGGGUACCCCUUCAUUGGCGGAUCUGAAGCUAUUUGGUAAGUGACUUUGGAGGCCACGGAAUAACAUCCACGAGCCGAUUGCUGGUCCCCUUUAAUGGUGAUAACUUCUUGGGCGGCCGGGACUUUCAUGGCGAGAUAGUGCAUGGAUACCACCGCUUUAGUUGCUACUAAGAACGGCCUACCCAAUAUAAUAUUGUAGGCACCCGGGUGAUCUACAAUAAGAAAAUCAAUCAUAUGAACAACACGGUGAGGUACCUUACCAAGUGUAACGGGCAGCGUAAUGAUGCCUUUUGGUAUAACCAUAUCUCCGGCGAACCCAAUAAGAGGCGUAGCAUAUGGGGUGAUCUUUGGCGACUCAAUCAAUAGCUGAUCCAAGGCGCUUUUGAAAAUGAUGUCAACGGAGCUACCGGUAUCUACGAGAGUUUUUGCUACCUUACCAGUGGCAACCUUCAACGUAAUUACGAAGGCAUCAUCGUGGGGGUACGAGAUGCCCUCCGCAUCUUUUUCUGUAAAAAGGAUAGGCGGGGGAUGGUGGGGUACCUUCGGUGUACCCCAUUCAUUAAGGUUGACUUCUCUGCCCAUAUUGGUGGUUAUCGACAACGAUCUACCAUAGCCUUUGAUAGCCCUCCUAGAUUGGCCUGCUAAAGUCGGUCCGCCCAUGAUCAUUCGGACAUACACGCCUUUCUUGUGUCCAGGGGGUACCUCUCGUUCCGGACUGCCAUCAGCUACCCGCUUGCCUUUAUCCUGUUCCGCAGAUUUCCGAGCUUCUCUCAUGCCAGCAACAAAUUCUUUGAGGUACCCGCUAAGAAUCAAAGAUUCAAUUUCUUCUCGCAAGGUGAAGCACUCGGCUGUGCUGUGACCAAAGUCCUCAUGGAACUCGCAAUACUUCAGGCUACGCUUCAUGUUGGGGUACUUCUUCAUUGGCUUAGGAGGACGGAGGAGGCCGCUAUCCCGAAUAUGGUAGAAGAUCUGCUCUGGGGAUCGAUUCAGUGGGUGGUAAGAUUCAUACCGAGGCCUCGGCGGUGGCUCUCGUUGAUCCGGUGGUGGCGAUCUUGGAGGUUGGGGUACCCUUGAGGCACCCUGAGGGUUAUACCCUUGUCCCCGCAAGGCAGCCCGUGGAGGGCUCCGUGCUCGGGGUACCCGCGGUAUUGGGGCCUCCACCCUCUUGGGCUUCUCCUUGUUCUUUGUAACAUCGGCCUUAUCUUCUUGGCGCUUCAAUUGGCAUUUUUCGUCCAUCUCCAAUUGUUGCAACGCCCGAGAACGGGCUUCCCCAUAUGAAAGUGGACGCUUCUUUUGAAAAGAACGCCAUAACUUGCCCAACCGCAAAUUUUUCUCAAAAUGGGUCAAUGUGUAUUGGUUUCCAAAUGCUCCGGUUCGCAGCACCUCUUGGUGGAAACGACUUACAUACUCCGCCAAAGGCUCGGCUUCCCCUUGCUUGAUAAAGGCAAGUUUGGAGGCUACCCUAUCUUGAGUGGAAGCAUAGGAAAACUCUUUAGUAAAUUCAGAUAACAAUUGGUGUAAGGAAGAUAUGCUACCCGCUUUCAAAGAUCGAAACCAUGACUUCGCGGGGCCCGUGAGUGUGUGUGUAAACAUCCUACACAUGGCGCUCUCAUCUACACCCUUAAUGAGCAUUUGGUCACGGUAUAGCUCAGCAUGCUCCGAGGGAUCAGUGGUACCCGAGUAUUGGGGUAUCUGAGGCAUGGCGAACGCCUCGGGGAGAGCUGCUGUCCUAAUCUCCCUAGUGAAUGGUGAUUGGUAGGUCAUUGGCGUUGGUGCAGCUGUGAUGUUUUGCUUCUCGGAGAGGAGCUUCACUUGGGCUUCCAGGUUCUCCAUCUUUUCCACAAGUUCGAGGGGUACCCUCGGUGUACCUGAUGAUGUCGCCGCCAUUUGAGAAGCCCUUUUGGCGUUUAACUUCUCACGGAGAUCAUCGUGGGUACGCUUUGCACGCCUCGUACCCUGGCUACUGCGGGAAUUGCAAGAGGCAGUGGAACGCUCGUCGCGGGAGCCCAUGGUUUGAAACUUAGAACGGGUACCCGAUGGCCUAGGCUUUGGCUUGCUGGCCUCGGGUACCCCUCUUCUGACCAUAGCUUGGUCGUCCGUUUGAGGUGGUGGAGCUUCUAGCGUCACUGGUGGAAGUGAACUUUCGGGUGCCCGAGAUCCAACCGCCCUAAGUAUUGCGUGAGCAAGAUCCUCAAAACGCUUGUGCGAAAUAGGUUCUUCUUCUUGGCGAACACCCGUCGACUGCUUGACACCCUUGCCCUUACUGAUGCGGGCUACCCUUCUCGCGGGAUCACUGCCUUCACUGCUGCUGUCCUCUCUCAUCCUUGUAGGAUCCCCCAUUAAACCUUUAGGAGGUACGUCGGGUGCCAUGUAUUGGAGUACACACAACAACUAGUUUGGUAACCGUGGAGGAGGCUUUUUGUGCGUCUCCCCACAGACGGUGCCAAUUGUUUUCAACUGGUUUUGGGGUAAGAAAAGCCAAACCAAUCUAGAACAAUAAAUUUGUUAUUUUGAGGGGAGAUGGGGUACCUCACUGGUUUAUUGUGUGUUGGGCGGUGUAUCUAAGAUUUUGGGGAGGUGAGAAAGGGAGAGAGAGUGGUAACAAUGGUGGAAGAUCAGAAACAAGAGAGGUAUCCUUCAAAAUGAGCUUCACGCCUGCAAAACAAUGAAAUAGAGGUUAGAGGUGAAGCCGGGGGUACCCCGGCGUUCACACUCCGACGCUCAAGUUAGCAAACUCAAGCUUUUAUUGCAAAGAGAGCUAGCUAGCCCUCUGUAAAUUAGGGUUUAAGGUUGAAGAAAACCUCUUUUUUGGAGUGUGAGUGUUUUUGGGCGAAUGAGAGCAUGAUGGAGAAUGAAACCUAGGCGCCUUUAUAUAUGGAGUACCUUAGCUGCCACGUGGCAUACCCUUUUUGGCUAACGUCCUUUUACCGCUUUUAUGAUUCUUGGGGCCGUUAUGUGCAUGUUCGCGGCGUAUCUCAUCUUUUGGAAACGUGGCGCGCGCUGGAGAGUGGUCCAGGGUACCUCUGCAGUAGCUGUCGGGUAGGCGGCUAGGGACCACUGUCCUUGGGACAGUGUCCUUCACUUUUGGCAGAGGUAGCAGACGGCUGUCCCUCCUUUUAGCACGUCGCUUUUGAUUCCUAAUUCUGACAAAAUCAAAUGAUAUCUUUUAGGAGGCGGAGACGUUUCUCAUGGCGGAUAUUUUCGGUGGAUUCUCUUGCAUCCGCUUUGCCGGGUACCUCGAAUUACAUGGGGUACCCCCUAUUACGCAGGGUACCCCUAUCUGUAUGGGAUACCUCUAUUUGUAUGGGGUACCUCUAUUUGUAUGGGGGUACCUCUAUUUGUGUGGGAUACCUCUAAUUGUGCAGGGUACCUCUAUUUAUACGGGGUACCUCAAGUCAUGUCGGGCACCUCGGAUUAUGUAGGGUACCUCCGAUUGUGCUGAUAUCAUUCCAUUGGCUGACACAUGGCGCUCUAUUACCUUUCCCAUCUUUCCCUCAAACAGAUAAAAAUAAUACUUCAAAAGCAUUGAAAUGUAAGUGCUAUUAAAAAAACGUUUUUCAUUCAAAGCUAUAAGUAAUGAAAUGAAGAUAGAUAUCAUUGUUGAUUAAAAAAAAUUCAGAAAAAAAGAAAGAGUGAAAGAAAAGAGCUUGUUAUGUUAGAAAAUAGUGAUAGAGUAUGUUAAGGACUAAAAUUUAUUAAAGAAAGCAGUGGUUCUAUUUGAAAUUUGAUCAAGUUAGAAUUAGUCAAUUAUGCAUCGAGAAUGAAAAGAAUGAAGAAAGGGAAUUCAAAUUAGACUUACAAAAUUAUAAUAAAGUGAUUAGUUAAGAUCCAAUUAAGCUGAUUUACUAAAAAAAAAUAUUGAAAAAUAAAGGGCCAUAACAUUGCCAAAAGGACUAGGAAACUAAGUAGGAAGGGGUGAUUGUUGCGGAAUACCUUGAAGUGUAGUUAUUCCACAACCACGAAGACCAAUUGCUUUCGAGUUUUGUCAAAUAUAUAUGCCAAUCCUACAACAAUAUAAAGCAAAAUGUUACUAUCAAAUUAUUGUAGAAGACUGUGAUCGUUGUGAUAGAUCGGUAAUUUUAGUAGCUUACCUAGCCUUCUUAAAGAGCCACUUGUUAGAUUGAGGUUCCAGGUUAGAUCCAACACUUUCAAGUUUCUCAGUAAACAUUAAUUUUGAUCAAAACAAUAGACAUAAAUAGACAUAAAUGAAGUUAGUGUAUUAAAAAAUGUUGUCGUUGAAAUUACCACCAAGAUUCAAGAUCUUCAGCUGUUUCAAACUCCCAAAGCUGUCGUAAGCUGCAAGUGCAUAUAAAUUAUUAUCAUUAAUUAGUCACUGGCAAAAUAAUUAUGAAUGAGUAAUAUGAGUCAAGGCACUGCAAUUCUUCAAAAGGGUGAAACAAUGACAUACUCAGAAGGGAAACUCCAUAAGAAUAAGAGUUAUAAUCAGAGUAGUGGAUUUUUGUUUUCUGAUUGAGUGACAGUUGCGUCACCCGUCGGGUGGUGGCGUUGCACUUAACUCCCUCGCAAUUGUUACAACAAUCAGACGACAUUCCAUCAUCAUCAAACCAUGAAGAAAGAAUGUUGUCAUCAUAUCCAACAUCACUGGCUGAUAUGAAGAAGCUCUUGAUUUCCAACAGAGCAAUCCUCUCUGUUUCCAAUCAUGCUUUGUAUCCAUGUAACUGAAUCAGAGCUAUGCCAAUCCACAAUGACAACUUCAUCAAAAGCAUUUUCAUUAUUAAUAUUAACUGCAAGAGAAACACUCACAAGAUUGACCUGUCAAUUGUUGCUCUCUUGAAGUUUUUCUGGUUGUCUGGCAAAUAUAUGAUUUGUAUAUACACACAUGGAAAUGUUAGAAAACUAAGUCUUUGAUACAUGAUAUCUUCUUGUGACCCUAGUACCGUCCAAAGACAUUGAAACAAAGAGAAAUUAACAGCUGACUUACCUGCAUCAUGUGCAAAUCACGUGACAUCAAAAGUUACCAUGUAAUUUGUCUUUAUAAGUGUUUUCUGCUUCUGAAAAUGAAAAAUAACAAAAUGGAAAUGCUUUUAGCUUUUGGCUAGACAUUUUCAGGUCACUCUCUUAUCGUGGCCUGCGGCUUGCAGUCAUCAACAAUCCUCAUCUGGCCUCUUUAUAAUCCACUUUUAACAAAAUAUAGAUAGAAACAGAUAUAUUACUGAUAUUCAAAUUACACUUAAUAUUAAUAAAUCUUUGGACUGAGCUUUAAAUCUAUAAACUAAAACUUCCAGCAUACCACAAAUUAUUUUUAGAGCCCGCAUGUUGGAAUAUCUCCUUCAAGUUUCGCUUUGCUUUCUAGCACAUCAUUCAAAUGAGUUGCUAUACUAUAUCUAGCUAGUUUUGAACAAAGUAAGUGAGAAUAUUACAUCUGCUUUAGCAAGAUACGAGUGAAUUAAAACCUUUGACCAGAUUCAAGAGAGAAAAGAAUGUUGAAAUAUUGACUUGAAUAUUAUGGCAAAAUGAGUUUGACUUUAGUACCGACCAAAGAAAUAAUUGAAGAUGCAAAUUGGUUAGUUUGAGGUGCAUGGCUAUUGGCACAACAACAUUUGCUGCAUAACGAAAUUGCGGCGUCUCAGCCGGAUUGUGAGAGUUGUUUUCAAAUCCCAUUUCUCUUCUUUGUAUUUAUUCAUUGCCACAACAUUUGAUGCAUAUUUUGAUGACUACUCAAACGCGUUUCCACAAUAACUAACGAAAGGAAAAGUGAACGAAUAAGCAAAAGACACUGAUGACUAUAAUCAUGUAAAUGAAGUACAAGGCUUCACAAUAGAUUAGACCACCAAUUUGUGCCUUUUGAAUGCAUGUGCUUGAACAAGAUACGAGUGAAUUGAGGCAUAUCUUUCUUUCACAAUGUAAACUUCCCAAAAUACAUGUAAUCUGCUGGUGAAAUAAUUUUUAUAAAACAAAGGCUUAAAGUUAAAGCUGACUAAAAAUAUUGGCGUACGUCAAGAACGCUACGGGGAAAAUUCAACCGUGAGCUGCAGUCUGCAGUCCCCAACAAUCCGGGAAAAGGCUGAAGAGGUGCGCGCCUGCGCAUACUAAUUUGGCAGGUCUGAUAGGAUUUAUAAAUUAAAAUAAUGUAAUUUUAUAUAUUUUUUAAAUGAAAAAUUUGUUGAUGCCGCUGUGAGAUCCAUUGGAUCCUCGCGUGCCUGCCCCACAAAACAAUCUCCAUCAAAUCUCUUUACAAUCCAUUUUUGAUAAAAUAUGAAUAAGGAUACAUAUAUUUAUUCAAAUAUUAGUAAAAAUAGAUAUAUUGCUGAUUUUUUUUUGGUGUAAGCCAUUCGGUAUUUGGCGAACGCAAUUGGAUCCCGACUAAUCCGAAUUUGGGGUGUAGUCACAGUUAAAGCUCUUUACUCCUCCCACGUAAUUGGAUCCCGACUAAUCCGAAGCGAACGCAAUUAGAUCCCGACUAAUCCGAAUUUAGGGUGUAGUCACAGCUAAAGCUCUUUACCCCUCCCAAAUAACUUAUUUAGUGGGGAUUGAACCCAAGAGCUCUUCCCACAAACUCAGCCUGCGUUGCUAACUGAGCCACAACCAUUUGGUUAUAAUGCUCAUUUUUAAAUUAUACUUAAUGAACAUUUAGACCGAGCUGUAAGUCUAUGAAUUCAAACUUCCACAACACCACCAAUUAUUUUUAGCCUGCAUGUUGGAUUGUCUCCUUUAAGGCUGUGUUUACUAAACUGGAAUGAGAAUUGAAAUGGAGAAAUCCGAAUGAAUGACUUGUUUAGUCAUUAAAUUGAUGAUAGGAAUGGGAAUAAGGUGAGUAGGCUCCAAGUUCUUGAAGAGGAAAGAUCACUAUGGCACCAAUCUCCGGAAGAGGCAAGUCCAAUAAAGCCAAGGCUGACAAGAAGAAGAAAGAAGAGAAAGGCUUCAAUUGUUAAUCUUUUUUAUUCACUGCUUUCAUUGGAAAGUGCUUUUUGUAAAGUGCUUCCGCUUUCUAGCUUCCUUAUGUUCAUUGAUUUUUUUGUUGUGCAGUAGUGCCCAGUGUUCUUGAUAUCACAAUCAUCACCCCAUAUGAAUCACAAGUUGUUCUCAAGGUAUAAAUUUAUACUUAUCAUCAAUACUUUCUUGUUUUGCCCUCACCAGCUAUGAUUAGGAUAUUAUUUUGUAAAACUUUAUAAAUAUAAAUGAAUUAUUAAUUAAUCAUCUUUUUUUUUUUUUUUGGUUUGAUUGAAAUUUGCUCAAAGGGCAUCUCCACUGACAAGAUAUUUGAUGUGAAGAAAUUGUUGGCUUCCAAUGUAGAAACUUGCCACCUCACAAAUUAUUCUCUCUCUCACGAGGUGUCUAUAUUUUAUUAUCUCUUUUUUUUUUUCAUUAUAUAUGAUUAUGAAUUUUUUUCUGAUAAUAUUAAACACUAGAUACUAUUUUUUCCCACCUUAUUUUUAUGUGUUUAUUUCUUUAUUAUUAUUAUUAUUAUUAUUAUUAUUAUUAUCUGGUCAAGGGGCAGAGAUUGAAUGAUAGAGUAGAGGUUACUCUGAAACCAUGUUUGCUCAGAAUGGUUGAAGGCAGGUGAACCUCUCGCAUGUCCAAUUUUCUGAAUUAAAAAAUCUCAUUCAUGUGGAUGUGGGUCUCAUUUUAUUUGUUAUUUUUAAUUAUCAACAUUUAGAUCUUUUUAGUUGUUCAUCGCCAUACUAUUUUAGUAAACUAUAUUGAUUUGAUGGGGGAACCUUAGGUGCAACUGUGGCACCGUGCCACAAUUGCAUCUUAACCGUUGGAUGCCUGUGGACCUCAACACUCUAACUGCAUCCAACGGCUAGAUGCAACUGUGGCACGGUGCCACAGUUGCACCGUAGCCUGAUCCUGAUUUGAUUGUAUGUUUUUUAAGAAUUUUUUAAUAUUAUUGAAAAAAACAGAUUAAAGUGAAAAAAUUAUUGACUAUAUUAAUUGACUAAAUAAAUAAAUAAAUGACAAUAUUUUAUUUUUUAACAUUAAAAAAAACCAAUUUGAUGCAGUCCGCUUAGUCCUGCACACUUGGAACGUUACCAUGCUUUUUUGUGCUGUACAUUUUGGACUUAACUUUCCUUGUCAUUUCAAGUCAAAGUUUUUUUUUUUUUUUAAACUGAUUAAGUGUCAGGUUACUGUAUUACACAGAGAUAUUUACAAAUAAUAACAUAUCACUGAUAUUUACAAUCCGAUAUAUACUUAGGACUUACAUUAUUAUAUUUUUAUUCUAUAAAGUACGUGCCCAGCCAAAUAUCACUCAUAGGAGAGGGAUGUCUCUACUCCACUAGCAUUUCGCAAUGGAAAAAGACGUUAUAAAUAAUCUCUAAACAAUUAUAAUUAAUUGAGGGAGUUUGAGUCAGUAAAAAUUCGAACUAUUAAUAGUCAUUCUUAAUUUUAAGGGCAAUGAUUCACCUCUGGGCUACAAGCCCAAAUGGCAUUUCAAGUCAAAGUUGAAGCUGUUUCAAAAGUACAAUAAUAAGGUGCAUUUAAGUAACUGGCCUAAACUUUAGAAAUUUCAGAAGUUACAGAAUACGCAGUUCAUAUCUAGGAGCAUUAUUAGUUUAAUCAUUAAAUGACAAAAUUUUGCCAAUCUUUUUACGAGCCUUAACAAACUUUUUCUAGUUGAUAUUCAAAGUUUUAUUGAUUUUUUUUUAUAGUCAACUGUACUAAUUGAACAGUCAAUUUAAUAUAAAAACGACUUUAUCGCUUUGUGAUCCUAAUUUUCAACCAGGCGUUAAAAUCUAUUACCCUUAAAAGAAUAUUAGUUGGCAGAAAUGUAAACAGAAGUAAGAAGGUUUGUAGAAGUGUAUUAUUUCAGAAUUACUAAUUUUAUUGUGAAUAAUUAAUAUGAUUAGAAUUUAACAAAAUUUUAUUUAAAGACUUGUUUAAAGAGCAAAAAAUUUAUUUUUUAUUAUUUUUAAUACUUAUAAUUGUAAUUUAAUUUAGAAAUAUUUUAAUUAUAAAAAAUUAUUUUCAAAAAUAAAUUCGACGAAUAGUUUAGGGCUUUCAAAUAACUCUACUUAUAUUUAAAUUAAUAUUUAAAAGAAAGAAAUAAAAUAAUAAAAGUAAAAAACUUUGCCCGGCAAUUCCUUGUUAUUUACAUUUUUGGCACUGUCCUUGGCAGUGGACUACACAGAGGAAUCUCAGGCCGUGGCACACGUGCGGCGGCUUCUCGACAUCGUCGCGUGCACCACACGUUUCUCCAAGUCCAGAAACUCCCGAUCGCCGCCAUCAUCAGAGUCAUGUGCCAAAAAGAACGGCAGUAGGCCCCACCGACCUUCACUAAACCCUGCCACUCUGUCUGAUGGGGCAGCAACAGCAGCAGCAGAUAACCGAAGCGGGCCCCGCGCCACGUCAUCGCCAGUUUCGUCGGCGGUUUCUCCGAGUCUGGACAUGGCGGCCAUUCACCCGACGCCGAAACUCUCCGAGUUUUAUGACUUCUUCUCUUUCUCUCACCUCACUUCCCCCAUCUUAAGUAAGCCUAAUGUUCACUUAUUUAUUUGUCUUCGUUUUUUACAUGGUUGAUCCAAAAAAGGUUGACGUCUCUAUUUUUUAAGCUGUUGGAGCAAUACGCCGUCUCAUUGAUUCAAAUUUACACACUCAAGAUACAAUCAAUGUCCAAAAGGGGGCAAUCUUGCAUGAAGAUCGGGUGGGAGACUUGUCCAUUACAGUAAAAUGUGAUACAGUAGAUGCAAGCUUGAAAUAUGAGGUUACUGUUAAAGGAAAUCAGUCAUCUAGUGUGUCUGCUGCAGAAGUUGCUCAAAGGAAUUUACUAAACGGUGUUACUGCAGAUGAGAGUGUAGUUGUUCACGUAAGUCGAUUUUUCCUUUACUUUUUAUGCUUACUUUCACAGAACACACACAUAAAAGACAUUCAUCAAAGCUGAAAUUACUUACGUGGGCGGAAUAAUAUAGCUCUACCUUUGUCAGGGAGUGGUUUUUCAGUCGGAUUAAGAUGUUUCACUCUUUAUCUGAUAUCUGGCAUUUGAUGAUGGCCUAAAAUACCCAUCCUCUUCACUCUCUCUUUCUACACAUUUAUGAAUGCACAAGAAAGUCAAUUUUAGGUUCUUUCCUAAGAAUCACUACUCGUUACUAACCUUAUAUAUCUGGUUUAGCUUCAUGAAUCUUAUGUUGCCAUUCUGUUUGGUGACUCCCUAUUCUGUUGAAAUCACUGGAUAGCUGGUCUUUCUACUGAUUUUAUCCAUAUCCCUCUGAUUUUCUGCUUGUGGUUUGUUCCAACUUAAUGUCAUCAACCCUUUUUGGGGAAGCCUAUUAACCUUGGUUGGGCAUGCUUGUAUUAUAUCAACUAGUGAUACAAUUGCUAAAGUUUUCAGCAUGGUAGAUCUUGAAAUAAAAUUUUCUUGAAAUAUCUAGAUUUAUUUUUCUCAAAAUAUCUAGAUUUAUCUUCCUAUUCUUUUUCCCUUUCUUUUAUUUUAGUUUCAAAGAUUUGUGAUAAAGAGAACUGAAACAAUAUAGUUUUUGGCAGGAUACCUCCUCAUUGGGUACCGUCAUUGUAUGACAUUGUGGAUACACCGCUGUAGUAAAAGUUGUUGGUGAUGUGAAGGAGAAGUUUGGCACACAAGAUAUUGAAAUUGAAGAUCAACCUGGUGGAGGAGCUAAUUCUCUUAAUAUUAACAGGUCUGAAAUUGUAACACAAUGCUUCCUCUGUCGAUUCCUCUUAGCACACAAAGACUAGGAAAUCUACAGAUGGAGAAUGGCUGUAAGAUAUGAAAAAUUAUCUUUCAACCAAUAACAGUUUUAAGCUAUUCUGCAAGAUAUCUUAGAAAUGCUAACUGUUAUGAGCUUCUUUGCUUAGUGUCUAUCACAGUUGAAUUCAUGAUGCAGAGCAUUGUUAUUCUCUUUAGUUUUACCAGAUAGAACAGGAUUGAAAUGCUGGUGUUGGGGAUUCUUAAGAAAGGAUAGCACCUGUUCCUUUUUCUUCCUGUUUAGAUGGGAUCUAAUCAGUAGAUGUCUGAACUCUUAAGGGGAGUUGAUGUCAGAUUUCUAAACCAGGUUUUCUUCAAGUGUUAAGUUUAUGAAUAGGCCAAAGAAAAGAGAGCUGAUAUCUAGUUAUGGCUUUCACAAUAAUGGUUGAGUGUUUAUAGUUAUGUGCUCUGACAUUGGUUUGUAAUUGUUAUAUUAACAAAAUAACCAACAGACAUCGUUGACGAUGUUCAAAUAAAGGAUAAAGGAAAGUAUAAUUACAGUGGAUGCUCAGUUGCUGCAAUAGGUCAUCGGCUUUUUAGAUUGUGCUAUUUCAGAAAGUAUUUAGGCCUUCUUUGGUGGAUUCUGCCUUUGUUUCAUAUACUCUUAUGUCUUUCUCCAUUUAAGUUGUUCUGACAGGGUAAACUAUUUAUUGCAGCUUAAGGCUUGUACUUCAGAAGUCUUUCAGUGCUGAAUCAGCUAGAGGAGACCAAUUACCUCUGUGCAAUUUGGAUAAUUCGGAAGCUUUUAGAAAUCUUGUAAGAAGAGUUAUUAAACAGAGUUUAGCAAAGUUAGAGCUGGAGCCAACUGCUUCAGAAAGAUCUAUUAGAUGGGAACUUGGUUCUUGUUGGGUGCAGCAUCUACAAAAGCAGGAAACUCCAACAGAUACCAAGUCAACGAGGUCUGGGGAUGAUAUUAAGACUGAAAAUGACAAUGGACCGUGCAGCAUGAAUGUGGGAGGUAAUGGUAGACAGCAAAGCAAUGGCGAGCUCAAUUGUGAGAUGGAAUUGAAAAAACUAAUUUCGGAAGAAUCCUUCUUGCGAUUGAAAGAAACUGGCACUGGCCUUCAUUCAAAAGUUUCAGAAUCUCAAAUUUGUUUUGCAUUUCAACUGUAAAGUUUGCUACUUUUUGUGUUUUCAUUAUGCUAAAUUUGGUUUGUUUUAUUUUCAUAUGGAAUGGCUGGUAAAAUUAAUUUCUUGUGCAGGCAGUGGAUGAGCUUAUGAAAAUGGCAUACAAGUAUUAUGAUGACAUUGCUUUACCAAAGCUGGUACUAUUUAAUUUAUUUAGGGCCUUUGUUGCAGCCAAUUAAGACGUGUGGGGAUGGUUUAUGGACUAAUUUCCAUUCUUUAUUAGGUAACAGACUUUGGAUCACUUGAACUUUCUCCAGUUGAUGGCCGCACACUGACAGACUUUAUGCAUUUAAGGGGACUACAAAUGCGCUCUUUAGGUUGUGUGGUGAGGAAUUUCUCCCUCUCUUUCUCUCUCAGACAUGCAACCUAUUCACCCAUGGAAAUCGGAAUAAACAAAUGUUGUCUUUCUUUAUGUAAACAAAGCCCCCAACUUAUCUUUCUAUAUGUAAACAAUCCCCCAAGUCUUCCUGGAUUGAAUUAUCAAUGUUCCUUUUUGAAAAUUGUACUACAUGAUAGAAUUUUUGACAAUGUUGACCUUUUCCAAGACAUUGAAUUAUUGUCGUCUUUAGAUAUUACUGUAUGUUGUAUGACAUACAAUAUUUUGAGAAAUUGACAUGCUAAUACUUGGAAGCCUGGUAUUCUUCUUCUGUUGGUUCUAAUCCCAUUUACAAAUUCAGGUUGAACUUGCAGAGAAGCUUCCUCACAUACAAUCACUUUGUAUUCAUGAGAUGGUUACUCAAGCGUUCAAGCAUGUACUCAACGGAGUCAUCGCAUCUGUUGACUAUUUAUCAGACCUAUCUGCAGCUAUAGCUUCUUCCCUAAAUUUCUUAUUUGGCUGUUGUGAGAUGGAAGAUGAGCAAAGCUGGAAUGAAGAUCAUAUCCUCAGAUUGCAGUGGCUACGAACAUUUCUUGGCAGAAGAUUUGGUUGGUCCCUGAAAGAUGAAUUUCAGCAUUUGAGAAAGAUUUCAAUUCUACGAGGGCUUUGCCAUAAGGUAAGGUAUUGUCUUUUCGGUUCCUUUGGCAGCCGAUUAUUUUCAAAGCUUGAAUUUUGCUUGUAAACUUCACCCAGGUUGGGUUGGAGUUGGUUCCAAGAGAUUAUGAUAUGGAUUGCCCAAACCCAUUCACGAGAGAUGAUAUUGUCAGCAUGGUUCCUGUGUGCAAGGUGAGACUAUUUUCUCUCUUAAUUGUGUUUUGAUUUAGUUUUUACAUUCUCAGCGAGUCACUCAUUUGUAAAUUGAAUGUAAUUGUGCUAUUUUUAUGGCAUUCUACAGCAUGUAGGUUGCACUUCAGCCGAUGGACGGACCUUAUUAGAGUCAUCCAAAAUUGCCCUUGAUAAAGGAAAACUAGAAGAUGCUGUAAAUUAUGGGACAAAGGUAAUAACCCACUCGAUCUAUAUGUAAGAAUUACAUUAUUCUUUUCAAAAUAAGGCAUCUCUUGAUCUCAUAUGAUGUAUUACUUGCAUUGUAAGGCACUGGCAAGGAUGAUAGCUGUUUGUGGUCCCUACCAUCGGACUACUGCAAGUACUUACAGUCUUCUAGCUGUAGUUCUCUACCACACUGGAGACUUUAAUCAGGUACGACAAUCUUCAGUUGUAUUUCAGUGUCAACUUGGUGAUUCUAAGUCGAGUAUAAUUAUAACGUCCUUCUGUACGGAGGUUCUCAUUCAGCGGGACAUUUGAUUUGAAACUUUGUGUUAUGGUUACUUUUUAUGGUCUUGUAUAAAGAUAUGCAUUAGGAAUUAUAAUUUUCUGGAUUUGGGAAUUACAUGUACAGGCAUUAGCAUAAUUUUGAUAUCAGAUUAUAUAUUUUAACUAAAUCAAACACGUUCAUGGUUCUUAUGUUCAGGCAUUUCGUCUAAUGGCAUCUGCGUCUGAGUGUUAGAGUAGCGUUCGUAUGUGCUCAAGAUAUCUUCUUCUUCAUUUUAGGCAACUAUAUAUCAGCAGAAGGCAUUGGAUAUUAAUGAGAGGGAACUUGGUCUUGACCAUCCAGAUACAAUGAAAAGCUUUGGGGUGUCAAAGGAAUUAGCAGAUUCUAUGGCAAAUUCUAUGCCUGUACAGCUGUAACAAUUAUCUUUAUGAUUGUAAAUCUUUUAUGUUUUCCUUAUUUAGGAUAUACUAGCUGUAAGCUAAUUUAGAUAGUUUUGUAUAUGAUAGUUUAGCGAUGUUUAGGGCUAAACAUAAGCUUGUAUUCAUAGUAUAUAAUGGGAAUUCUCCUCCAAGAGAAAAACAACUUUUGCUCAAAAUUCUCUUAGUUUAUCAUGGUAUCAGAGUCUCAGUUCUGAAUUCUCUUCUUCCUAGUUCAUUCUCUUAUUCUUAGUUAUUUUUUAUCAAGUUAUCUCAGCCUCAUGUCUUCAGACAAGUAUGAUGCCUUUUUGAUCCGUUUUAAUGGCACAAACUACUCAGCCAGGGCAUUUCAUUUCGAGAUAUUUGUCAAAGGCAAAGAUCUAUAGGGACAUGUUGAUGGCAAGAAACCUGCCCCUGACAAAGACAUAGACCAGGAUGGGCACGCCAAGUGGGAAGUCAAGGAUGCUCAAAUCAUGGCAUGGAUUCUAGGAUAUGUGGAAUCCAACUUCAUCUUGAAUCUUCGACCCUUCAAGACCGUAGCAGGAAUGUGGAAUCAUCUGAAGAAACUCUAUAGUCAAACCAACACUGCUCGUCGAUUUCAACUUGAACAUGAGCUAGCCAAUCUCCAACAGGGCAGUCUCGCUAUUUCUGAUUUUUAUUCUAGCUUCAUGAAUCUUUGGGCUGAAUAUACUGAUAUAAUCUAUGCUACCUUACCUCCCAAAGGUCUUAGUUCUGUUCAAUCUGUACAUGAAACUACUAAGAGGGAUCAGUUUCUGAUGAAAUUGAGAUCUGAAUUUGAAAGCACUAGGUCUAAUCUUAUGAACCGAGAAUCUGUCCCUUCCUUGGAUACAUGCCUCAAUGACUUAUUUCGUGAGGAGCAACGACUUCUUACUCAAAACACCAUGGAACAACAAAAAUCCACUUCUGUUCUUAUAGCUUAUGCAGCUCAAGGCAAGCCAAAAGGUAGGGACAUAAGUACAGUUCAAUGUUUUUGUUGCAAAGGAUUUGGACAUUACGCUUCAAAUUGUUCAAAAAAAUUCUGCAACUAUUGUAAAAAGGAUGACCAUAUCAUCAAGGAAUGCCCUACUCGACCCCCCAAGAAAUCUGAAACAGCAUAUGCUACCGCAGUUGGUUCUUUUAGUGCUGGUAGUUCUGUCGAUACAGCACAUUUGACACAAAAUGCUCCUGCUCCUGUUCAGUCUGUGACCCCAGAAAUGAUUCAACAAAUGAUUAUUACUGCAUUCUCCUCAUUAGGACUCUCAGGUAAAUCACCCACUACAUCUCCUUGGUACUUUGAUUCUGGGGCUUCCCAUCACAUGACAAACAAUGAUAAAUUCCUCACCAAUGUAAGUAAAUACCCUGGAAAUCUAAAAAUUCAUACAGCUGAUGGCAACUCUUUACCUAUCACAGCCACUAGUGAUGUUUCUUCUUCUAUAACCAAUGUCUUUGUCUCUCCUGGUCUUACCACUAAUCUUGUUUCAGUCGGUCAGUUAGUUGACAAUAAUUGUAAAGUAGAAUUCUCUAAAUCUGGUUGUGUUGUGCAGGAUCAGCAGUCAGGGAAGAUGAUUGCCAGGGGGCCUAAAAUAGGACGUCUUUUCCCUCUCCAAUUUGCUGAGUCUCCAUGUUUCUCUUUGCCCAUCAUCACUUGUAAUUUUACUAAUGUUAAUUAUCGAGCAUGGCAUAAGCGUCUAGGACACCCAAACUCUAAUGUACUUCAUGCUUUGCUAAAUUCUGGUUUACUUGGGAAUAAAAGAUCACACACCAAAUGUUGUCCAGCCUUUUGAUUUGAUACAUAGUGAUGUGUGGGGUAUGACGCCCGUUACAUCUCAUGCUAAUUACAAGUACUUUGUCACUUUUAUUGAUGACUAUAGUUGCUUCACAUGGAUUUAUUUUCUACAUUCUAAAGAUGAAGGGUUCUCUGUUUUCAAGCUUUUUCAUGCGCAUAUUCAGACCCAAUUUUCAACUAAUAUCAAAAUUCUUCGCUCUGAUAAUGGGGGUGAGUAUAUGUCUCAUUUAUUUCAAGAAUUUUUGCACACCAAUGGUAUAAUUUCUCAAAGAUCUUGUCCUUCAACCCCCCAACAAAAUGGGGUGGCUGAAAGAAAGAACCGUCACCUUCUCGAUGUUGUUCGCACUCUUCUAUUAGAGUCAUUUGUACCCUCUCGUUUUUGGUGUGAAGCUCUCUCCAUUGCUGUCUAUCUCAUCAACAGAUUGCCCUCUCCUUCCUUGAACCAUGUCUCCGCUUUCUUUCGAUUAUUUGGCUAUACACCAAAUUACUCCCAUCUCCGUACCUUCGGUUGUGUGUGCUAUGUUCAUCUUCCUCCACAUGAACGCACAAAACUCACAACCCAAGCUGUGAAAUGUGCUUUUCUAGGAUAUUCUAUGCACCAAAAAGGUUUUCUUUGCUAUGAUCCAAAUUUGCGUCGUAUAAGGGUUUCUCGAAAUGUGAUUUUUUUUUUAAAUCAGUAUUUCUUUUUCGCACAUCAGGACGAUUUUUCCCCUUCAUUUUCUGUUUUGCCAAAGUUUACUAACCCUUCUGCAGAUUCUGUACCUUCUAAACCUCUCAUAGUCUAUCAGCGACGCAAGAAUUCAGUACCUCUCAGGCCCCCUCCAGCAACUUCCCUAAAUGCUGAUCCAGUUCCAGCAACUGCACCUGAACCUCUCAGACACAAUACUCGGGUUCAUAGACCACCGGAUAGGUAUGGUUUCACCUAUCCAUUAUCUUUGACAGCCACUUUGUCUUCUAUUCAUAUUCCUUCAUCAUAUAAACAGGCAAUGGAGCAUGAAUGUUGGCGAAAAGCUGUUGAAUCAGAACUUCUUGCACUUGAGGAAAACUAGACUUGGGAUAUUGUUUCAUGUCCUCCAUUUGUGAAACCCCUUAGUAGUAAAUUAGUGUUUUCUAUCAAGCUGCGUUCUAAUGGAUCCAUAGAUCGUUACAAGGCUCGGUUGGUGGUUCUUGGCAACAAGCAAGAAUAUGGCCUAGACUACGAUGAGACCUUCGCACCGGUAGCCAAAAUGACCACUGUUCGAACAAUAUUAGCUCUUGCUGCAUCACAAUCAUGGUCUUUACAUCAAAUGGAUGUAAAGAACGCUUUCCUACAUGGUGAUCUCAAGGAGGAAAUUUACAUGAAACUUCCCUACGUUAUGACUACUUCCUCACCUAAUGAUGUUUGCAAACUAAAAUGUUCUUUGUAUGGGUUGAAGCAGGCACCGCGAGUAUGGUUUGAGAAGUUUCGAUCAACUCUUUUCGGUUUUUCAUUCACUCAAAGUUAGUAUGACUCCUCCUUUUUUUUUCCAACAGACAUCUAAGGGCAUCGUUGUUCUCCUUGUUUAUGUGGACGACAUCGUUAUCACUGGUUCUGAUAUGGAGGCAAUUUCUAAACUUCAGAAUUUGUUGCACUCAACUUUUCACAUGAAAGACCUCGGUCAACUCACCUAUUUUUUGGGGUUAGAGGUGCAUCAUCGGACUCAAGGUAUCUUCUUGAAUCAGCACAAGUAUAUUCAGGGUUUAAUUCAAUUAGCUGGACUUAUGGACACAAAUUCUGUUGACACCCCAACGGAACUUAAUGUGAAAUAUCGACGAGACGAAGGGGAACUACUUCAAGAUCCUACUUUAUAUCGGAAGCUGGUUGGUAGUCUUAUCUAUCUAACUAUCACCGCCCAGACAUCUCUUAUGCUGUCCACACCGUCAGCAAGUUCAUGCAAGCCCCUCGACAUCUCCACCUAUCCGCAGUCCGCCGCAUCAUUAGAUAUAUUCUUGGCACUCCUAGCAGCGGUUUAUUCUUCCCUACUGGUUCUUCACCCCAACUACAAGCCUACAGUGAAGCAGAUUGGGCUGGCUGCCCGGACACGAGAAAAUCUACUAUGGGAUGGUGCAUGUUUCUUGGUGAUGCCCUUAUCUCUUGGAAAUGCAAAAAGCAAGACUCAAUCUCCAAAUCAUCCACUGAGGCAGAAUAUCGGGCCAUGUCUGCAGCCUGCUCCGAGAUCAUUUGGUUGCGUGGUCUCUUAACAGAGCUUGGUUUCUCAUAACAUCAACCUACUCCCCUACAUGCUGACAACACUAGCGCCAUCCAAAUUGCAGCCAACCCUGUCUACCACGAGCGCACGAAACACAUAGAGGUUGACUGCCACUCUAUUCGAGAGGCCUAUGACCGCCAAGUUAUCACCCUCCCGCAUAUCUCCACUACUCUACAUAUUGCGGAUAUCUUCACCAAAUCCAUGACACGUCAGCGACAUAACUUUCUUGUUAGCAAAUUGAUGCUUGUAGAUUUACCAGCAUCAAUUUGAGGGGGGAUGUCAAAGGAAUUAGCAGAUUCUAUGCCUGUACAGCUGUAACAAUUAUCUUUAUGAUUGUAAAUCUUUUAUGUUUUCCUUAUUUAGGAUAUACUAGCUGUAGGCUAAUUUAGAUAGUUCUGUAUAUGGUAGUUUAGCUAUGUUUAGGGCUAAACAUAAGCUUGUAUUCAUAGUAUAUAAUGGGAAUUCUCCUCCAAGAGAAAAACAACUUUUGCUCAAAAUUCUCUUAGUUUAUCAUGGGGAUCUUUCAGUUUUCUAUUAUCGCCUUCAACACAUUGAAUUGGCUCUUAAGUAAGUAGAUCUACUUGAUUUACCGGAGCAACUUUGUGAUUUUCAUUCUCUAACUGAUUAAGGUUUAUUUAUUCAUAUGUGACCUUUGUAUACCUUUGUAUUGAGUCUGCUUCGAACUAAUGCAGUUUUUAUCUACCUACUUUAGCUUUUAUUUGUCUUUUAUUGGCUCUAGCUCCUGAUCAUACCACACUAUUGGCAGAUAUGUAAAUCAUGCCUUAUUCCUUUUGCAUUUUACUUGUGGACUUUCACAUCCAAAAACAGCUGCAACAUACAUAAAUGUGGCUAUAAUGGAAGAGGGCAUGGGAAAUGUUCAUCUUUCUCUUAGAUAUUUGUAUGAGGCCCUUAAAUGCAACCAAAGACUAUUAGGAGAUGACCAUAUACAGGUUUUUCUCUCUCUAUUUACGCAUGUAUACACACUCUUUAGACUUAUAAAUCUUUCUGUAAACUCAGCAUUUUUUUGAUUUCUUCACGUGACAGACAGCUGCAAGUUAUCAUGCCAUAGCCAUAGCUCUUUCUUUGAUGGAGGCAUAUUCACUAAGUGUGCAACAUGAGCAAACUACACUGAAGAUUCUCCAAGCAAAGCUUGGACUAGAAGAUCUGCGUACUCAGGUGACUACAUGUAGUCAUAUUUUAAUUGGUUCUGUUGUGCAAUUUGGCUAGUUGGCUUUUCUCUUGUCAAUCUUUUACAGGUGAUAUUAUGAUAUAAAACAAAUUGUAUCGGCGGCCUAUUUUGGUGUCAAAUAUGGAUAUGACCCAUUCAUUAAUCGUAUCGAAAUAUCAAAAUACAGAUAUGACCUGUUUAUUAAUAGUGUUGACUUGUUUAGUAUUGAAUACAAACAAAUUAAAAAUUAAUUUAAAAAUAACAAAUGUGUCAAAAAAAUAAGUUAUAAAUAAGUUAAAAUGACAUAAGUAUGACAUGAAUAAGUUUAUAACAUAAUAUGAGUAUGACAUGAGUCGUUAAUUUAGUGUUUAGUAUAUAUUUUAGUUUUUUUUUCCAAUAAUAUUAACACAUAAUAAUUGAUAUUUGUGUUAUAAAUGUAUAAUCAUGUUGAGAUGGACCAAAACAUAUAUGACAUGGUUAUUUAUCAUGUCGUGUCAAUUCAUUUAUUGAUCGUGUCAAUAUUUGUCAACAAAAAUAGGGGUCAUAUGUCAUAUUAUGUUGUGUAAUCGUGUCAUAAUCCCUUUUGCCACCUCUAAUCUUAACUGUCAUGAGAGAAUUUCUCAAGUUCCAUAUUAUUGAUGGGAAGAGAUUUUUUUUAUUUUGUUGUUUUUUUUUUCGUUUUACAGGAUGCUGCUGCAUGGCUGGAGUAUUUUGAAUCAAAAGCUCUAGAGCAGCAAGAAGCGGCACGGAAUGGAACUCCAAAGCCAGAUGCGUCCAUUGUGAGUAAAGGUCACCUUAGGUAUUAAUAGGGUAUUCCCACAUUACUUGUUUCUAAAUUGUUGAUUAUUUCUUGUGGCACCAAGAUCUAUAAUGAUCGCUUUUUGCAGUGUAUCAGAUCUCCUGGAUUACAUAAGUCCUGGUCAAGAUUCUAAAAGAAGCGAAGCACAUAGGAAACAACGACGUGCAAAGAUAGUACAUAUUUAGUGCAUGUUUGGUAUGAUUUAUCUAAUGAUCAUAAAUUUUUAUUUAAUCCUAUAAGCUCUUAUCAAAAAUUUUUUUGUUGUUUAAUUUUUUUUUAGUAGAGCUCUUGAAAAUGAAAUAAGCUAUUUUGCCUCUACUACCAAAACCUCAAAUUUUGUGCUUUUGAGAGUAGAGGUUAAAAAGUUUUUUUUUAAUAUUAAAAUAUCUAAAAUAUUCUCUACUUAUUUGACAAUCUUAUUUUAUUCUUUUCAAAACAUAACUUUAAAAAUUUGCUUAUUAAAGUAAUUUUAUAAUUUUUAAUAAAAGCCCUUAUUGACAACCAAACAACACAAAUUUUUUGAGUAAAAACUUUACUUAUAAAAUCUUUACUAGCAAAACUCUACUCAAAUAAGAUCUAUUUGAAAAGCUAUGUGAAAUGAAGCAUUAAGCAUGCUGCUGUUCUCUGUUCCUUUUUCCUUGUGAUGUCAUCUGAAUGGAUUCUUAAACUAAUUGUAGUUAGGAUUUGGUAUUUUAGGGUACACUCUGCUGGCUGCAUAUAGUUUUGGAUUUGCUGAUUACACGAGUAAACUUGUUGUCCAUGCAAAUGCAACUAACUAUUGCAGGAUAAUAGUUCUACUUUUCUGAGUGAACUCUGAAGGCACCAAUUAUAAACAUCCAUUUCUGGCAUAGAAUCACACUUAUCUAACAUGCUUAUACAGAUCGCAGACAUGAUUGAAACUUUAGAAGGUUCUGAUCUAUUGAUGGCCAUAGAUUGGGCCAGCUGAUAGUUAGUAGCCAAUGAUGAAGGGUUGCUUGGUCAAGCAGCUAGUUCUUUGGAAAUUCAGAGAUGAUGAGCAGAACGAGUGAUGUUUUUGUUUUCCCCCGUAAUCUUGAACAGAGUGGGAAGAAACCGUUAAUUUGAAGUGCAAUGGAUGGAUAUGACAGAUCUAUCAUUUUGGCUAGUAGAUGGAGUUCUUCCAUUCUACUCUUAUUUAAUGGUUGUUAUUAUUGAUUCUAGAAAAACAUUUUUCGAUUUGGCAGUUGGAGUUUUUCCCUUUUUUUUCCCCCAUCUUGUAGGCCUUAGAGAACCAAAUAAUACUCCACAUUAGAUAGACAGGAUUAUUGUGUGCUAAUUUGAAGUAUUACAUGGUUGACAAUUUAAGACACUAAUAAAGUAUUUCGCUUUGAUUAUUUUUUUUGAGAAUUCCAUGAUUCAAAAGGCCGAAGAAUUUCGUUAGUUUAACAUAAUAUAUAUUAGCAUAAUUUCUCACUGAGUGUUUUUUUCAACAUUUCAGGCAUGUGCAUAUCAAAUUCCCAUUUAUGUUCCACUGAAUUCUGCCUCAUGUUAUGAUUGUAACUUAAAAUGAAAUAUUUCUAUGUGCUCAAUUUUUGACAUUUUAUAUGCAUACAAGUUAAAAAGCUUUUGUUUAUUUUUGUUUAUUUAUUUAUUUUAGGUAAUGCAGAUUAGGGAAAAGAUUCAUGGAGCACAUCAUGAUAUGAUGGUGGAAGAUGCACUGCCCCAUGAUGGAUUGAAAAAAAGUAUGACUAUAGUGGAAAGCAAGACCGAGGAAGUAAUGGAAGACAGUGUUCAACCUGAAGAGCCAGAAGAGAAUGAUAAUAUUACUAGAUAUGGACCGGCAAUUUCAGGUGAGUUUGUCUAUGAAACAAAUUCAGAUGAGGGGUGGCAAGAAGCCAAUCCAAAAGGUAGGUCAGGAAAUGCUGCUGUUCGGAAGCUCAGCCGGAGGCGACCUUUUCUUACAAAGCUAAAUGUCAAUGGUUGUGAACAUUCAAAUCUUAGAGAAAAGGGCAAUAGACGGGAAAUUUUAUCUCCAGCACGGGAAAAAGCUUCAAGGACCACCACCACUGAGUUAACAGGCAUGAAGGAUUCAAUUAAACUGCAGGCAAAAGCUUCCGUCUCCAAAGUUUAUGCAAGUCUACCAAACCUUACUGCCAUGACUUCCAAGUCGCUGUCUUACAAAGAAGUAGCUGUGGCACCACCAGGUACGGUUCUAAGGCCAUUACCAGAGAAACCUGAUGAAGAAAUUGAAUAAAAAACUGAAACACAGAUGUGCGGUAAUGCUCCUGAGACAUCAAAGGCGGAGUUGAAUAACCAUUUCUCUCCAGUUGAAGAUGUGCCAGUUGAUGGUCGUUCUCAAGAAACUCAUGGAAGUGCAACUCAAUCUGAAACUACUGCUGCAGAUACCGAGGAAGUUCCUUCUUCUUCUAAUGAGGAAAAGCCCAUGGAAACAAAUGGGAGUAAGCUUUCUGCUGCAGCUGAACCAUUCAACUCCAUGACUCAUCUGCUGAACUCUGUAGCAGCCACGAGUAUUUAUGAUGCGCGAACUAGUCAAGGUAUGCUUGCUGAACCUGCUGUACCUUCGGCUGCUGCUAGAGUUCCUUGUAGGCCAAGGUCGCCUCUCUAUUAUAGAAAUAAUUAUUCUUACAUGAUGAAAUAUGGAUUUCCAAAAUACCACUCUUCCAUUAUGGAAAGAAACCUGUUGGGGCCUUCAAGAAUCAUGAACCCGCAUGCACCUGAGUUUGUGCCAGUGAGAGGUUGGCAAAUAAAUCCUGGAUAUGCAGAUUCAAAUGUUUCAAAUGAGUCGAACUCUUCAAUGACACAAGUGAGGCAGAAGAUGAUAAACUUGACAAAAUGUCCAGUAUCCAAGGCGAAGAUAAUAC
rnacentral:lncRNA from 1 species